GUACAUGCUCCGAGCAUGGGACAACUAUUGUUUUAAUUCAAGAAUAAAGUUGAUAGCUGAAAUAGUAUGCAAUGAAUAAUGUGUAAUCAUAUGGUGAUAAAUAAAAGGUGUUUUAUUUAUGUUCAUAGGUUUUGACACCAUAUUAGAUUCAAUUAUUCUUGUGUUUCAUUUUUCAUGUUUUGACUUCCAGAAUAAACUAGGUUAUUCUUCCGGAAUGACUAAAUUAUUCAAACCAUCCACAGUCGGUCAUAUGUUGGAUGUAGAUAUGAAUCAAGACUGUCAUGGGUUGGCUUGUAGAGGUCCAAGUUGGUGGACAAAGUUGUGCUACAACACUCAUGAGUGAUCAUAAGUUCUGAGUAUUGGUGUAACAUCCGGAUUCUAGGUACAUUAUUUAUUCAUUAUUUUGGAGAUUUUGAGAGAGACGCGGCGAGUUGAUGCUUAGACUCGCCGAGUAGAGUUGCAAAUUUCCAUCCCGGUUAAUGACCGGACUCGGCGAGUCGACUAGUGGACUCGGCGAGUCCGCUCUGUUUAAUGAAACCCUAAUUUAUGGGUAUUAAGACCUAUUUAAAGGCCCUUAUGGCCUUCAUUUGCGGCUACCUGUUGAUAGAGAGAAACCCCAGAGUGUGUGAACGUUUGACAGAGAGAGGAAGCCAUUUUUGAUCUUUGUGUGGGUGUUUUUGGAAGAAAAAGGUGGCCAAGGCAAGAGGAAACUGAAGAGGGUGCUAAUUUAUGGAUUUCAGAGCUUAGAGACUUCAUCUUGAGGUAAAUGUUCGAUCCUCUUUCAGUUUUAGUGUAAGUUUUUAGAGUUAGGGUUUCUAGCCCCUUUUUGAGUAUGAUUUGUGAAGCCAAUGGUCCCUUCUUGUGUUGAGGCUUCGAAUAUGGAUCCAAAGAGGUCCAGAGAUUUUAAAUCCUUGAUCUUUAUUGAGUGUCUUUGAGAGAUAUGAGUUUUAGAUGGCAUGUUGAGGCAAUUUCAUCAAAUAGAGUCAUAGGGUCUUUGCAUGGGCAUCAAAAUCCCAACUUUACGUGUUUAUUAUGAUCAAGGAGGGCAGAUCUAUGGGUUAGAGGAACAUAUCUGACCUCAGGAGGUCAUUUCUGAAUAAGCAUGGCAUGAACUCGUCGAGUCCCAAGAACAGACUCGGCAAGUAGGUCUAGGGUUUCCCGUAAGUCACUCACUGAGUAACUUGUCGAGUUAGAGGAAUGACUCGGUGAGUCAGAAGGGGGUAGAGGAUUAAAGGUGGAACUCGUCGAGCUCAUAAUUGAACUCGACGAGUUGAGUCGGGGUGGCCCCACGAUUCAUGCUAGGUGUAACCCGUCGAGCAGGGGAAAGGCUCGACAUGUCAUGAGAGGCUAGAGAGAUAGUGGACAGGUGUAGAAUCGCCGUGUCGCCCAAGUUCACUCGACGAGUCGGGUCAAAGUUUGACCGUUGACUUUGUUGACUUUUAGGGAUUGGUCAACAAUAGGGUCUUUGAGUCAAGAGAGGGGUAAAAUGGUCUUUUACCCUUCUGAGGGUGCUAAGAGAGGGUUGGGUCUAGUCUCGAGAGUUAUAUUUAUGAGCGUAUUUAUUUCAUGUGGUUAGGCGGAGGCUAGACUAUACUACUACCGAGUCAGGGAUUUACCAAGACAUCUGAGGUGAGUCUUCUCACUAUACUUACCUUGAGUGGUAAUUAGAGUUAUGUGACCGAGUUAUUGUAUGUUAUUUAUAUGAUGUGUUGCACUGCAUUAUUUCUAUGUGAUUUAUGUCGUGUGUAUACCAGAGUAUAUCAGAGUGAGAAACGGAAGGUUCACAGAGCUAGGAUUAGAGGGUCCACAGAAUUAGGGCCCAAGGGCCCGCAGAGUUAUAGCCUCGAGUGGCUAGUAUGUGAUAUGUGUGGUAUUUUGGGGAACUCACUAAGCUUCGUGCUUAUAGUGUUUUGUGUUACAGGUACUAGCGAGGAGCGCGGGAAGGCGCCGACAUGAUUCGUACACACCCAUCGGAGAUUAUUAUGCUAUGAUAUUGGGAUUUUGUAUUAAGAUAAUAAUGUUACAUUGUUUAUGAACAUAAUUAUGAAUGAAUUAUUAUGUUUUUGAAAAGCGAAAAAUUGGUUGAAUUUUUACGGUGUUAUAAGUUGAUAUCAGAGCCUUGGUUUGAGGGAUUCGGAUGCAUCUUCGGGCGUAUCUGAACUCAAACUGAGGAUUUGAGAAAAUUUGGAUAACAAAACAAUGUAAAAAAAAGAGUUUUAAGACAAACAGAGCAGAGCCCUGUGUACGAUCAGCCAGCGCCCGAACAGUGAUUUCCCAAAAUACCCUCGCGAUAAGUGUUAUAAGAUAUGUUAUGCUAUGCUAUAUGAUGAGUUAUGAUAUGCAUGCUAGAGUAGUCUAGGUAUCCUUAUUAGGACUAGAGUAGCCUGAUAUGUGAUGCCUUAGUCUAGGAGUUUUGCUGCUAGGAAUGCUAGACAGUGUUUAGAUAGCAGCGAGGAGUUUAUGAGAGAUCUGCUAGUGAGUAGCAUAUGUUUAAAAAGAGUAGAGUACUUGGGAUUUGGGUCUCUGGGAGGAGGACUCGGGAUGGAUGUUGAUGCGGUGUGGACGGUAGUAUUGGGCCCGUACUACUGAAGACACCGUGUCAGUGCGCAAACCAAGUAAGAAUCUUUGGAGUACUAAGGAACAAGUAGGGUGGAGUCAUUGAGAGUGGGUAUAUUCGAGCAAUUCUCUAAUAUUCUUAUGUCGUAUAUCAGAGGGAGAUCAUGGUUGGGACGUGCCAUACACCAGGGAGCAGCAGUACUAGUGAUGAGGAGAUCUGUAGGAUCAUUCACGAGGAGGUGGCUGUGGCCAUCAUCGCAGAGAUACCAAAGAUGUUCGGGUCUAUCAAGACCACACUGAUAGAGACAUUUGAUGAGAGAUACGCUGCUCUCUCUGAGGCUGCGGUUGCGGCGGCCACUGCAGCUAUGGCUGCGACUAGGCCGCAGGGUGGUGAUGCGUUGCAGUUCCGGGAGUGCAGCAACACGAAACCACCGAAGUUUGAUGGGACUCAGGACCCGAUUGCAGCGAUGAGGUGGAUUUCAGACAUCGAGGGGUGUUUCUUUACUUGCUCAUCUCCAGAGCAUCUGAGAGUCCGGUUUGCGUUGAACCAGCUUCGCUUGGGAGCAAAGGACUGAUGGAAGUUUGUGACGGCGCAUUACUCGCCUGCUGAGCUUGCUGCAGUGACCUGGGAGAGGUUCACUGCUAUGUUCCAAGAGGAGUAUGUUCCCCAGGUGGAGAGGGAGCGUUUGGCCCAGGAGUUUCUGACCCUCAAGCAGGGUACUGAGUCUGUUACAGUGAUUACGAGGAUGUUCCAUGAGCGGGCGAUGUUCUGCCCAGAGCACGUGUCCUCCGAGCAGGCAUGUAUGAGCCGUUAUCUAAGCAUUUUGAGGAGAGAUAUACGAGAGUUCGUGGCGAACUCGACGUACCGGACAUUUGCUGAGCUUCAGGCAAAUGCCCGGAAGAGGGAGAUAGAGCUGGAGACCUAGGCUAGGGAGGAGGCUGAGUCUCAAGGGAGAGAUCGGCGACCGGAACAGUCUCAGCCGGCAGCCAUGCGGGCCAAGCCCGCUGAUUCGAGAUCUGGGAGUCAGAAGGGCUGCACUUGCGGCAAGUGCGGUAAGAGCCACGAUGAGGUGUGCAGAGCGGGGUCUUGCUAAAAAUGUGGCAAGGAGGGGCAUAUAGCCAAGGAUUGCCCUAAGGGGUUUGCAAUAUGUUUUCACUGCAACCAGACCAGACACUGGAAAGCAGAGUAUCCACAGUUGCGAGUGACAGAUCAGGGAGCAUCUUAGGGAUCUGCCCCUGCUACAGUGAGAGCUGCAGACAGUCGGCCCGUAAAGGCCGAGGCACCGAAGGCACGAGGGAGAGCCUUCCAAUUGACUGCGGAAGAGGUCCGUGCAGCGCCCGAUGUCGUGGCUGGUAUGUAUUCUUUCAUGUAUUUACUUUUAUGUUGAGAUAUUGUGCUUAUAUUAUGAUAUUUGUAGGUACUUUUCUUGCGACUUUUGUACCUGCCUUGGUGUUAUUUGACUUGGGUGCGAGUCGGUCUUUUGUAUCUUUGGCUUUUAGUCAGCACAUCAGUAUUAGGCGAGAGGCGUUGAGUCGGCCUCUGAGAGUUUCCAAAGCUGACGAGAGAGCGGUGUAUGCCACCGAGGUGAUCCAAGGGUGUGUACUCGAUAUUUUCGGCGUUGAGUUUCCGAUCGAUUUAGUUCCUAUUGCGAUGGGAGAUGUCUGUAUCAUCAUGGGCAUGGACAGGUUGAGCAAAUUUGGAGCAGUUAUCCACUGCGAGAGACAGCUGGUGACCAUACGAGACCCUAAUGGGGGAGUUCUUAUGGUGUACGGCGAGGGUACACGUUCUUGGUCAGCAUUUUGUUCAACGGCUAGAGUGAGACAGAGUCUAUAGCAGGGCUGUAAGGGAUUUGUAGCGUAUGUGAUGGAUACGAGGGUUGAUUCAGAGAGACCGAGGUAAGUGGAGGAGGUUCCGAUAGUGCGUGAGUUCCCAAAUGUAUUUCCGGAGGAGUUACCGGGUGUGCCUCCCGAGAGGCAGGUUGAGUUCAGUAUCGAUUUAGUUCUGGGGGCUGCGCCAAUCGCCAAGGCUCCCUAUCGCCUUGCACCCCCAGAGAUGCAGGAGUUAUCCUCACAACUUCAGGAGCUACUAGGGAAGGGGUUUAUUCGGCCGAGCAGUUCGCCGUGGGGAGCACCUAUCCUUUUUGUUAAGAAAAAGGAUGGUUAACACCGGAUGUGCAUUGAUUACAGGGAGUUGAACAAGCUAACAUUCAAGAACCGUUACCCGUUGCCAAGGAUCGACGAUUUGUUCGAUCAGUUACAGGGAGCAUCGUGGUUCUCCAAGAUCGAUUUGAGGUCUGGAUAUCAUCAGGUGAGGGUGCAAGAUGAGGAUAUCCAGAAGACAACGUUCAUGACUCGUUACGGGCAUUACGAGUUUGUGGUGAUGCCUUUCGGGCUUACCAAUACACCGACGGUGUUCAUGGACCUCAUGAACAGGGUGUAUAAGCCGAUGUUGGAUCACUCGAUGAUCGUGUUCAUCGACGACAUAUUGGUGUAUUCGAGAUCCAGAGAGCAGCAUGAGGAGAAUUUGUGAGAGAUCCUCGGAGUUUUGAGAUCAGAGAGGCUCUAUGCCAAAUUCUCCAAGUGUGAUUUCUGGUUACGAGAGGUCCGGUUCCUUGGGCACCUCGUUAACCAGAAAGGGAUUUCCCCAAGAUUGUCGUGCCCCUCACCAAGCUGACCCGGAAGGGUGUUUCUUUUUCGUGGGGCCCAGAGCAGCAGGCCUCCUUCGAGACACUUCGCCAGAGACUAUGCGAAGCCCAGGUGUUUUCCCUUUUGGAGGGGAUGAAGGACUCCGUAGUGUAUUGUGACGCGUCGAUAUCAGGGUUGGGAGCGGUGCUUAUGCAAAAGGGGCAUGUGAUAGCAUAUGCAUCGAGGCAACUGAAACCUCAUGAGUCGAGGUAUCCCACCCAUGAUCUGGAGCUGGGGGCACUGGUGUUCGCCCUCAAGAUCUAGCGUCACUACCUGUAUGGGGUUCGGUGUACCAUAUACACAGACCACAAGAGCUUGAAGUACCUGAUGGAUCAGCCCAACCUAAAUAUGCGCCAUAGGAGAUGGUUGGACAUGGUAAAGGCUUACGACUGCGAGAUCCUAUACCAUCCGAGCAAGGCUAAUGUUGUAGCCGAUGCCCUGAGCUAUAGGGCGGAGGGCGCCCCGAUGCGAGAGGUUUGCUUGAGAUUGACAGUGAUGACUCCGGUGUUGGACACCAUUCGUGUGGCCCAGGCUGAGGCCAUGAGACCAGAGAACCAUAAGAGAGAAAGGGUUAUCGGGAAAGUAUCAGAGUUCGUUACCGAUACUCGGGGGCUUAUGACAUUUCAGGGUCGGAUUUGGGUACCGUUUGUGGGCGGAACCCGUACCAUUGUGAUUGAGGAGGCGCAGCGAUCGAGUUUCUCAAUCCAUCCUGGGGCCACUAAGAUGUAUUUGGACCCGAGGAGAGAAUAUUGGUGGCCCUUUAUGAAGAGGGAUGUCGCGUGGUUUGUAGAGAGAUGCUUGACCUGUCGCAGGGUUAAGGUCGAGCACCAGCGUCCACAUGGUAAACUGCAGCCAUUAGAGAUUUCCGAGUGGAAGUGGGAACAUAUUACCAUGGAUUUCAUCACCAAAUUUCCAAGGAUUGCGAGGGGUGUCGAUGCAAUUUGGGUGAUUGUGGACAGGUUGACGAAGAGCGCGCACUUCCUUGAUAUUAGUGAGAGCUCUUCUGCGGAGAGGCUGACAGAGUUGUAGGUGAGAGAGGUGGUAUCGCGACAUGGAGUACUGGUCUCAAUUGUUUCAGAUCGAGAUGUGCGUUUCACUUCCAGGUUCUGGAAGAAGUUUCAUGAGGAAUUGGGUACGAGGCUGCAUUUUAGUACCGCCAUACCACCCACAGACUGAUGGGCAGAGCGAGCGGACGAUUCAGACACUGAAGGACAUGCUUCAGGUAUGUGUAUUGGACUUCGGAGGAAGUUGGGACAUGUACUUACCCUUGGUUGAGUUUUCCUAUAACAACAGCCAUCAUUCGAGCAUCAGUAGAGGAGGUGUCGGGCCCCCAUUUGCUGGGGAGAGGUAGGGCAACGUGUGAUCGGUAGUACAGAGAUUGUGCUUCAGACGACCAAGCAGAUUCAGCAGGUCAGACAGAGGUUACUGACGGCCCAGAGCCGUCAGAAGAGUUAUGCGGAUAGACAGCGGUCAGAGGUCGAUUUCUAGGUCGGUGACUUCGUACUCCUGAAGGUAUCUCCUUGGAAAGGGGUGAUCCGGUUCAGGAAGAGGGGAAAACUGGGGCCCUGUUAUAUUGGUCCUUUCCGAGUGAUUGCGAGGGUAGGCGUGGUACCAUUAGAGGAUAUUCAGGUGAAUGCGAGCCUGAACUAUGUUGAGAGACCGGUUGCGAUUAGGGAUUGGAAGAUCAAGGUUCUGAGGGAGAAGGAAGUGCCUCUGGUACAGGUCCAGUGGCAGCAUCAGAAAGGGUCCAAGCUAACUUGGGAGCCGGAGCGAGAGAUGCGUGAGCAGUAUCCAGAGCUGUUUGCAGAGUAAGACUUCGAGGGCGAAGUCUGAUUCAAGUGGGGGAGAGUUGUAACAUCCGGAUUUCUAGGUACAUUAUUUAUUCAUUAUUUUGGAGAUUUUGAGAGAGACUCAACGAGUUGAUGCUUAGAUUCACCGAGUAAAGUCGCGAAUUUCCAUCCGGGUUAAUGACCUGACUCGGCAAGUCGACUAGUGGACUCAGCGAGUCCGCUCUGUUUGAUGAAACCCUAAUUUAUGGGUAUUGAGACCUAUUUAAAGUCCCUUAUGGCCUUCAUUUGCGGCUACCAAUUGAUAGAGAGAAACCCCAGAGUGUGUGAGCGUUUGAGAGAGAGAGGAAGCCAUUUUUGAUCUUUGUGUGGGUGUUUUUGCAAGAAGAAGGUGGCCAAGGCAAGAGGAAUCGGAAGAGGGUGCUAAUCUGUGGAUUUAACAGCUUAGGGACUUCAUCUUGAGGUAAAUGUUUGAUCCUCUUUCAGUUUUGGUGUAAGUUUUGAGACUUAGGGUUUCUAGCCCCUUUUUGAGUAUGAUUUGUGAAGCCAAUGGUCCCUUCUUGUGUUAAGGCUUCGAAUCUGGAUCCAAAGAGGUCCAGAGACUUUAAAUCCUUGAUCUUUAUUGAAUGUCUUUGAGAGAUAUGAGUUUUGGAUGGCAUGUUGAGGCCAUUUCAUCAAAUAGAGUCAUAGGGUCUUUGCAUGGGCAUCAAGAUCCAAACUUUACGUGUUUAUUAUGAGCAAGGAGGGCGGAUCUAUGGGUUAGAGGAACAUAUCUGACCUCAAGAGGUCAUUUCUAAAUAAGCAUGGCAUGAACUCGCCGAGUCCCAUGGACAGACUUGGCAAGUAGGUCUAGGGUUUCCCGUAAGUCACUCAGUGAGUAACUUGUCGAGUUGGGGGAAUGACUCGGUGAGUCAGAAGGGGGUAGAGGAUUAAAGGUGGAACUCGCCGAGUUCAUAAUUGAACUCGACGAGUUAAGUCGGGGUGGCCCCGCGAUUCAUGCCAGGUGUAACCCGUCGAGCAGGGGAAAUGCUCGACAUGUCAUGAGAGGCUAGAGAGAUAGAGGACACGUGUAGACUUGCCGAGUCGCCCAAGUGCACUCGACGAGUCGGGUCAAAGUUUGACCGUUGACUUUGUUGACUUUUAGGGAUUGGUCAACAAUAGGGUCUUUGAGUCAAGAGAGGGGUAAAAUGGUCUUUUACCCUUCUGAGGGUGCUAAGAGAGGGUUGGGUCUAGUCUCGAGAGUUAUAUUUAUGAGCGUAUUUAUUUCAUGUGGUUAGGCGGAGGCUAGACUAUACUACUACCGAGUCAGGGAUUUACCAAGACAUCUGAGGUGAGUCUUCUCACUAUACUUACCUUGAGUGGUAAUUAGAGUUAUGUGACCGAGUUAUUGUAUGUUAUUUAUAUGAUGUGUUGCACUGCAUUAUUUCUAUGUGAUUUAUGUCGUGUGUAUACCAGAGUAUAUCAAAGUGAGAACCGGAAGGUUCACAGAGCUAGGACCAGAGGGUCCAUAGAAUUAGGGCCCAAGGGCCCGCAGAGUUAUAGCCUCGAGUGGCUAGUAUGUGAUAUGUGUGGUAUUUUGGGGAACUCACUAAGCUUCGUGCUUACAAUGUUUUGUGUUAUGUGUUACAGGUACUAGUGAGGAGCGCGGGAAGGCGUCGGCAUGAUUCGUACACACCCAUCGGAGAUUAUUAUGAUAUGAUCUUGCGAUUUUGUAUUAAGAUAUUAUUGAUACAUUUUUUAUGAACGUAUUUAUGAAUGAAUUAUUAUGUUUUUGAAAAGCAAAAAAUUGGUUGAAUUUUUACGGUGUUACAAUUGGAUUCAACCCGCGCUCAUUGGAAUCACUUCAUGGAUUUGAGCACGAGUGAUCAUGAGUUGUUACUAUGAGUUGGUUGUACAUUGAUUGCACGAAAACGCAUUCGGUAACUAGAUGUUAUAAAACGUGCCUUUGUGUAUGAUUCAACAAGUGGUAGAACAAGCCAUAUGAGUCGAAGUUUAUGCAUUCCUUUUACCUUNUGAUGAUGACAAAUGGAAGUGCUCGGCCGGGCCAGGACUGAUUUGAUUUGUUCAAUUAGUCAGUCGUCAUAAAUCGGAAAUCGGGAAACAACAAAUGGACAGAGAGAAUGAUUAUAAUCCAUGUCUCAGUCCAUAUGAUAUCUAGAAUGGAGGAAUAUAUGAUCCCUUAUCUAAUGGACAAGUCAUUGACAAAGGUCAGAGUUCAUCUACAAGGUCAGAGUUCGACAGAAGCUUUUGAGAGCUACGAUUGCCAGUCGGUUCUUGAAGUCAUACGCAAUAAUAGUUUUAGACUUAUCCAAGUGGGAGACUGUUGGAUUAAUGUCUAAGUCCAUAACUAUAAUUGGUAAGACUUGACCCGGCCCGGCAUGGUCCAUUUGGGUUGCAUGGCAUCAUGCAUUUGGAUAGACUAUAAUGAGAGAAAUAACACUUAAGAAUGGUUAAUAUAUUGUAAGUUCUAAUAUAUUAAUAAGUUUAUUUAAUUAGUAUUGAUCAAGAAUUAAUUUGGAAUUAAUUAAGUGAUCAAAAGGAGACUAAUUAAAUAUAUGGGUUGAUUGUGUAAAUCAUUCAUUCUUAUAUAUGUGGGCUUGUGAUCCAAGAUUCCUUAUGUUGGACUAAGUCCAUUGGGUGACCCAUGGAUACUCCAUGGAGGUUAAAAUCCAUGGAGCAUAAGGAAUGGGUAAAGUUAUGAGUUACAUGGUUUAACCCUAAUAGCCACCAUAUAAAAGAAUUCCAUGGCUCAAGAAAUCGUGCACUAGUGUGUAAAUAUGAGGGCUAGACGAUUUCAAGGAGUGUUCCAUUUUCUCUCAAGUCAUUCCAUGUGCAUUUGGUGUUGUGUGAACCAUUUGAGUUGUCACACUUGGGGCACUAGGCACUCAAGCUUCAUGAAGAUAUUCUACAUCAAAGAGGUAUGUAAUUCUAACUUGAGAUAUCCAUAUGAAUCAAUGUUAUUUUUGCUAGUUAGGAUGAAUACCUUGGAAAGUUCAUAUUUGAAUGUAUAAUAGAGAAAACAUAGAUCCAAGGUAUUUAGGGUUGCAUGUACACUUAGGAGUGUUAGAAUGCUCAAAACCCAACAGACUUAUGAAGGAGUCUUGAGUAUAGAAUGGUAUCUAAGGGGUUGUUUCUAGAUAGGGGUUGUUGCAGGAGCAGAGACGUUUUAGUUAUUUCAUUCGACAUUGAGGUGAGUUUUCUCCUGUAGGAAUGGGUCGAAGGCACCAAUGUCAGCCUGUUUAUGUAUGUUAGUAUGUUCCAGACUAAGGUUUGAUGCAUGGCAAAUCCUGAUGAAUGUUUGUAUGCUUUCGGAUUUUGGUCUAAUGUCGAGCGGAGCCCGAGGAAUGUUUAUAUAUAUGUUUCAAAACUAUGGUUCGAUGUCGGGUGGUACCCGAUAAAGUAAUGCAUGUUUAGUUAUACUUGUUGUCUUUAUGAUACUUGCAUGUGCCUGGUAGGGAGGUGAGUGUGGUCGAGGACCUAUAUCUCAUCAUUAGCUAAGUGUGGACGGGGUUCCAUAUCUCAUCAUUAGCAGAGUAGGGGCAGAGCCCAUGAUAGGUGAGGCCUUAGGACUAGAGCAUAUAGUACUGUGUAUGAUUCUUUAUGUGCUAGCAUGAUUGUAUGAUAUUCUUCUGUGUAUAGAGGGUGAGGCCCAGAGAAAGGUGGGGCCUGGAAGAAACAGAUCUAUAUAUCGAGCGAGGCUCAAUGCCAGGCAGGGACUGAUGUCAGGCGGGGCCUGAUGCCAGACCUCUUUGAUGUUGGACGGGGCCCAGUUUAUGUGAUUAUAUGUAUGGUAUGUGGUAGUUUGGGGAUACUCACUAAGCUUCGUGCUUACAAUUUUCAGUUUUUGUUUCAGGUACUUUCGGUAGCGGGGGGAAGAGCUCGGGAUGAGUGCAGUGCACACACCAUUUAUUUAGCCUGUGAUAUUUUUAAUCUUAUAUGUUUUGACACAUGUUUACGAUAUUUUGAGACACGUGACUUAUGAUUUUUAUGUCAUGAAUUGUUAACUAUGGUUUAUUUAAUAAUUUAAAAAUGAAAUUUUUGGACCGUAUAUUUGGGAUGUUUCAAGUAGGUAUCAGAGCCUUGGUUUGAGGUAUUCGGGCAUGCUUUCGGGUAUAUCUAAACUCAAACUGAGGACUUGGUAUGAAAAUUUUCAAACGAAAAUCAUUUUAUAAAAAGAAUCCUGGAAUGUGAAAGGAAUUUUGAAAAGAGAAAAGGGUGUGUUGCAUGUAACAUCAGGACUCCCAGGUAUAUUAUUACAUGUUUAAUUUUUGAUAUUUAUUGACUGACUCGACGAGUUGUAAGUCCAACUCGUCGAGUAGAGUCGUGUUUGGCCACAUGGGAUUAGUAACCUACUUGACGAUUUAGAGAGUCGACUCGCCGAGUAGACACUGAGUGAUGAAACCCUAAAUCCCUAGGUUUGGGGCCUAUUAAGGACACUUAUAGCCUCAUUUGCGGCUCAUCAGCUUCCUACCUUCACUGAGAGAAACUCUAAUCGGCCUUUGAGCUAAGAGAUAGAGUGUUGAGAUAAUAUUGAAUGUUUUGGUGCAUCUUUGGAAGAGAAGAGAGGAAUUUCAAGCAAGGAACAAGAAGAGGUUGUUAGAUCCAUUGUUGUUUCAUCCAAGAGCUCCUGUGAAAGGUAAAAGUUCAUAUCUUUCUCAUUUUGUUGGGUAGAUCUCAUAUUAUUGGAGUUUGGGGCUUUUUCCAUCUAAUAUUGGGACUUUGAGUGUAUUGAGGUCAUAUAGAGAUUUGGACUUCUAAUCUGGACCUUUUGAGGUCCCUAGACUCCAAAGUUCCCUGAUUUAUUCAGCCAUGAUAGAGCCUUUGUUUGAAAAACCCUUGCUAGAGCAUGUUCUUAGCAUUUCAAGCCCUAAGUGACAUGCAUGGACGUAAAGCUCAUGACUUUAUGCGAUAAAUGAGCCUUGAAAUCAUUUGAGUGAGAAAUGAUUUUGAAUGGACUUGCCGAGUCAAUGAGCCGAAUCGACGAGUCAGUUAGGGUUUGUCCCGAUGAGCUUGAUCAUGCGAUAGCACGACGAGUUAGGGGGUCAACUCGACGAGUUGAGCCUUGAGAGUGUAGAUCUAGAGUUUGGGAAGAUUUUUAGGCAUUCAGUCUAUCCAGACCGCUCACUGGGCCUUCGGCCUAACUACAUUUGCCUGGCCCGAGCCUACAGUCUACCCGGUCCGCCUAGUUGUCUUGGCCUACUGCAUACAGCAGGGCCUGCCGCAUCCCUUUCCUCAAACCAAAAAACAUGUGCUCAUACAUAUAAACAAAUAUACAUGCAGAUCUAACAGAUCACUAAUCAUGGCAAGCGUCCUAUACCUAGGAUACCGAUCUAACCGAUCACUAACAUAGCAACAUCCUACAACCAGGAUACCGAUCUUACCGAUCUCUAACAUAGCAACCAUCCUAUAACCAAGAUACUGAUCUAACCGAUAUCUAACAUAGCAACCAUCCUAUAUCCAAGAUACAUAUCAUAAAGCAUAAUGUGCAAUAAACCCGGAUACAAAUCCGAAAAGGGUCGGCAUUGGUGCCUUCGACCCUGUUAGUAUAGUGAGGACAACUCACCUCACAAAUGUCGUACUGAAGUGAUAAGAUCAAACUAUUGAAUCAUAGCCACGGACUCCAUCACCUAUAAUUUCCAUAAAUUUUCAAUUUACCAAAAUACCCCCAUAAGUCAACUAGUAAACCCUUGGUCAAAGUCAAGGUCAACGGCCAAGGUCGAUAGUCCAUGUUGACCCAACUCAUCGAGUGCAGCUCACUGACUCGUCGAGUCCUUCCAGAACUCGAGAAGUCGUGAAAACCCCCAGUUGACCCGUUGAAUUUCCAUGCAACUCACCGAGUUCAUGCAAGUCCAAAUAUCGGGAAAACCCAAGCUGACUCAUCGAAUCGCCAUGCUGACUCGCCGAGUUCAUGCAGAACCAGUAACAGGAAAACCCUCCCCAACUCGCCGAUUGGAUUAUCCAACUUUUCGAGUUCAUUCAGUCCAUUCCAUGUACAAGUGAUUCUAAGCUACUCCAAUGCUCCAAUUAGUAGAUCUAGCCUCCUUGGGCAUGUUUGUCAUGUAAAGUUGCAAACUUUACGUGCAUGCAAGGCUCGAAUCAUCAAAACCAAGGUACAAAAGAGGUUCUAAGGGAUGAAAAGGGUAUUAACUCACUAAAGGCUGAAGCUUUAUGCCCUUAGAGGCCAAGAUAGGCCUAGAUCUGAAGUUGCAACUUCAAAUCACCCCCAAUACCCGAAAUGACACAUCAACAUUGCUAAAAUGGCACUAAGCUCAAACAUAAAUAGAUCUUAGAUAGAAAAACUUCAAGGUAACAACUUGUUACCUCCAAAACGUUGCUAGGAUGAAGUAGGACUCGGAUCCACAGUCUAUUUUUCUUAUUCCAAGCUUGAGUACUUCAAGAUCUUCCUUCCACAAUCCACAUCAAGGCUUAAUAUCACACAAUAAAGAGAGAAAACAGCGAUUUAGGGUUUUUGGACUCACAAGGGGCUGUAAGAGGAGGCUAAGGGGGCAAAUGAUCCUUUAAAUAGGGUGCAAAAUCCCAAAAAUUAGGGUUUCAUCCCGUAGAUCCAACUCGUCGAGUCAUGUCUUACGACUCAUCGAGUUGGUCACUUAAACACGUGCCAAAAAUUGUUCCUACUCGACGAGUCAGGGCAUACAACUCAUCGAGUAGACCUUUCAAUGAUGAAAAUAAAGCUGUAAAGUUCAUACCUGAGAGUUAGGGUGUUAUAAUUUGGGUUGAGGAGUGUGUGAGUUGGGAGUUUGGGAAACUUCCCAACAUUGGGUUCACCUCCUUUUAGUGUUUGAUAGCUGGUGUUGGGGAAUCAGAUUUGGAAUUCCCAUCAGGACGCGAGUUCAUUGAGGAUAUUAGAUUAUGUGAGUGCUCGACUUUAGACAUGUUCAUAUUGGUAAUUAGCGGUAAGUUCAUGGUCAGCAGUUGAGUUAGCGUGGGAAGUGAUGUAAGACUGUGGGAUAGUUGUAGCAUUCACCAGCAGCCAGAUAGUGUAGAAGUGUUGCACAAUUACGAGGCAGCCAUAACAUUCUUCAUGCAGGCAAAUAGUGUGAGGAAGUGUUGUUAGACUACGGGAGAAGCCGUAGCAUUUACAGGUUCAGUCAAGUAAUCUAGGUUCGGGUGGGCCAGUUCGCAGGAUCGUGGAAAAGGCCGUAAUAGGAUCGGAAUCAGGAAAGGAUAGGUUGUGGGAAUUUGAGGUGGAGUUGGGCCUGUGUAGCCCUAGAUAGGUGGGACCUGUGGGCAAGGCAACUUCAUGAUACAGUUUGGGUAGGACCCGUAGGCGAGGCCAUGUGAUCAUAAUAGUACAGAUGGGACCUAGGAGAGACUGUUGGGUCAAGGUAUAGGAUCGGGGAUCCUAGUAUUUUUAGAGCCGAGAGUGGCAAUGUGGAUAGGGUAGUUUUCGAUAGUCGAAGUUUUCUUCGAAAGUUAUUGGGAGCGACUCAGAGGGUGCCCUUUGGUUUAGCAACUGGGUGGGAAUCCGGUAUUCCAGAUAGUUGGCAGAUAAAUUGGGACCUAAGAGGUCUCGGUUCAUUCAGAAAGUGGAUAUGAGGCAACAUGAUAUUUGGGAAAAAGUGGUGAUGUGAUGAUUUUUGUGUGUGGAGUAGCUUGCGGAUCGAAGGUGUUAAGUCACUUACAGUUGGAUUAAAUAAUCUUGGAGUAAUUGAUUUGACCCUGUUGCGCAGCUCUCGUCUGAGUCUAACCGUUGCGGGGAUGAGUCUUCUACUCGAAGGAUUAUCUGAGCCUUCUGUCGGGUAUAAGUAUUCUGCAACUGGUUAUGGUUAGUGGCUUUGCUCUCGUGGGUUGCAACAAGAUAUUCAGGGUCGGGAGUAUUAUGGUUGGUUAGUUAGUCAAUAAGGUUUUCGCAUGGUAUUUUUUCAGCUUAGUCAGUCUCUCAGGGAGACGGACCACUAUAGAUUUCUGUAAUGACGUAAAUUUUCAAACCAAAAUUUUCAUUUUAAAAACACAUUUGUCACAGUAACAAAAUCCCAAAAUGUCACAAUGUUAGAUCAUCAAAUCUCAUAAUCAAAAGCUGAAUAUAAGUAAAACUCCAGGAUCCUCUAAUCAUAAAUCAAUCUCUGAUGUGCGUGUACAACAUGUCGGCGCCUUCCCGUGAUCCUAAGAAGUGCCUGAAACACAUAGCACGGUAAGCACAAAGCUUAGUGAGUUCCCCAAAAUACCACAUGCAAAAAUAAUAAGCCACUCGAGGCUAUAAAUCGUCAUGGACCCUCCUGUCUCAUGUGUCUCGGUGAGGACCCUCCAGUCUCACGCCUCAGUAUGGACCCUCCGGUCCUAUGUCUCAGUGGGACCCUCCAGUCCCAUAGCUCGGGUGGACCUUCUUGUCCUAACUCGAGUGGACCCUCUGGUCCUACUCGGUAACUCAGAAUAAUACACAACAUAAAUCACAUAGAAAUAAUGCAAGAUAUCACAGUAAUCAACUAACACAUAAGACCAUCCGGUCACACACAACUCAUAUUACCACUCUAGGUAUGUAUAGUGAGAACACUCAACUCGUAAGAAUCGAAUAACCUUGAACUCGUAUCACCAGUCUAGCCUUCGCCUAACACACACAAUAAUUAUCCCUAAUUAAUAACAACUCUCAUAAAGCUAGACUAACCCUUCCAUACACUCACAGAAGCUUAAAAGAACAUUGUACCCCUCCAUGGGCUUAAUAGUCCACACGUUGACCAAACCCUAAAAGUCAACCAAAAGUCAACAGCAGGGAGUACGCUGCGUACCAUCUCUCUAUGUUGGGCGUACUCAGCUGCCAUGCAGAUAUCGCGGAUGCUUGACCCUUACGCUACACGUAGUUGGAUUACUCCCAUCGUAAGUCCCAGUUUCACUCUCCUUACAUAUUUGGUCUUUAUCAGUUAAUACCGUGGCUCAUAUCAUAGAUCUGGACUUCCUAAUAUCUCUUAAUCCAUAAAUUCAGUGACUUUAAGCCUUUGCAUGGCUGAUUUGGUCACAAACACUCAAAGCACUCAUCCUAUUUUCUCAUGGAGCUCACAUCUCAUGCAUGGCUUGCUUCUAACGACCAAGAUUGGAUUUUUAUGACAUUACUCCACAAAAUACACUAAAAGGGGGUGGAUCAUGACCUCUGGGGCUCAUUAACUCAUAAAGCCUCCAUCUUUUGGGACAAAACCCUAAAAUACUCCAUAUAAAUGCACAUAUCAAAAGAGUGAAAAAGCUUGAAGCUUUAUAACUCUAAGUGAAGCUUUCCACACAAGUAUGCUCAGAUCCAAGAGCGUGGACUCUCACUCCUUCUUCUCCAAGGCUUCUUCACCACUUCAAGAACACAAGAAUACACUCACAAUCUCUCAAAUGCACUCAAAAGCUAUAAGGGUGAUGAUUUAGGGUUAGGAGGGCUUGAUGUCUGGGAAUGGUGACCAGGAAUGAGGCCAUCAUAUCCUUUAUAUAGGGUACUCUCCAACAAUUAGGGUCUUUAUUCUAGUCCUAGUACUCCCAGCGUACCCUCUGGUAUGCACAACAUACUAGGUGGCCUCCACAUCAUAUGCACGCAUACGAGUACGCUGAGCCUACACUAGGACGCCCCGCAUACUCUUUUACCAGCUUUUCUCUAAUAAGGGCCAAAAUGGACAAGUGCUCAAAAGAUCAAGGUUUACAAGAUAUAUCUGGACUUGGGAUGUUAAAAUUUUCCCCCACUAGAAUCAGACUUCGCCCACGAAGUCAUGCUCCGCAAAUAACUCUGGAUGCUGCUCCUGCAUCUCUGACUCCGAAUCCCAAAUCAAUUCGGACCAUCUCCGAUGUUGCCAUUGGACCUGAACCAGGGGAACUUCUUUGUUCUACAGAACCUUCACCUUUCGAUCCAAAAUCGCAAUCAGCCUCUCAAUGUAAUUCAGGCUCGCAUCCACCUGAAUGUCCUCUAGAGGUACUACAGCCAUCUCAUCGGCUACACACUUCCUCAACUGGGACAUGUGGAAGGUGUAACGCCCAGGUUUCAGGGCUAAGCAUAUUUGUCAAUGUAAUAGUCUAGGUCAACUCUUGUAACUCUUUUUGAAGUAAUAAAGAUGAAAUAUUUGAGUAUUAUGUGAAUUAUGAAAUAUUUGACAUCAUUUUGCACUCCUUACCUUCUUGUUAUGACCAUUUUUGUAUGACAUAUCAUAUGAACAUGGAGGAAGUUACCCUCAGCAAGCUUCAAGGACUCUUGAAGACCGCAGAAACCGGUCUUAAGGGCAAGGCGGUUGUUACCUCUACUACUCCUACUCCAACAUCUACCCCUGUUAUGGCUAUCGGGCAAGGCAAAGGGAAAAAGAGGAAGCACCCUUCGAAGGGUACUAAGGGAAAGUCUCUUGAAGGCUCCUCAUCGAAGACCAAGAGCGGUUCUGUCACUCCUUCUGCCAUUCCCAAGGAUGCUGAAUGCUACUAUUGCCAUGAAAAGGCACACUGGAAGCGAAACUGCCCUAAGUACUUGCAGGAUCUAAAGGAUGGGAAAGUGAAACCCACCUAUGCAGGUAUUUACACAAUAUUGUCUAAUUACUCAACAUAUUCUAACUCUUGGGUGCUUGAUACAGGAUGUGGUAUUCACAUAUGUUCUGAUUUGCAGGGCCUAAGAAGAAGUGAGGAUGUGGAGCACGGGAAGAUAAACUUAAUCAUGGGGAAUAGGAAGGCUUCACCUGUUUCCAAGAUUGGAGUUUAUACUUUGUUGCUUAAUAAUGGGUUAAAAUUAGAUUUGAAUAAAUGUGUAUACUCGUCUGAAAUGGCGAGGAAUAUUAUUUCUUUUCAUGCUUUGUACAAACAAGGUUUUACCUUUUCGUUUGAUAAUGAAUGUGGUGGUAUUAAUGCUUUCUUUAAUAAUGUGUUUUAUUUUAAAGCAUUACCUUGUGAUGGCGUGUAUGAAACUGUGUCGAUUGUAGACAACUUAGGAAAUAAUGUGUUGUAUAUUGAUUCUUCUACUAGCCUAGAUAAAGCAUCAUUGUGGCAUUGUCGUCUUGGACAUGUAAACAAGAAACGCAUAGACCAACUCCAAAAGAGUGGAGUCUUGGAAUCAUUUGACCUCAAAUCAGAUGAUAGUUGUGAAUCUUGUCUACUUGGAAAAAUGACAAAAUCACCCUUCACUGGAACUUGUGAGAGGGGUGAAGGUUUGUUGGACCUAAUACAUACUGAUGUAUGUGGGCCAUUCAAAACCGCCACAAGGGACGCUAAUCGGUAUUAUGUGACUUUUAUUGAUGAUUAUAGUAGAUAUGGGUAUGUCUACUUGAUCAAACACAAGUCCGAAACCUUUGAAAGGUUUAAGGAAUUCAAACAGGAAGUAGAAAAUCAAUUGGGCAGGAACAUUAAGAUGCUUCGAUCCGAUCGAGGUGGUGAGUAUCUUAGUACCGAGUUCCUUGACUAUCUUAAGGAGUGUGGGAUUGUCUCACAAUUGACUCCUCCCAGGACACCACAGCUGAAUGGUGUAGCUGAGAGGCGUAAUCGUACCUUGUUGGACAUGGUUCGCUCUAUGAUGAGUCGAGUUUCGUUACCAAUCUCUUUUUGGGGGUAUGCCUUAGAGACUGCCGCCCAUAUCCUUAAUCUAGUCCCUACAAAGAAGGUUACCAAAACACCUCAUGAGAUGUGGACUGGGAAGGUUCCCAAUUUGGACCACAUCAAAAUUUGGGGUUGCGAAGCCUUCGUGAGGCGUGAAACUCAUGAUAAGCUUGAACCCCGAAGUGAAAGGUGUAUUUUCAUCGGCUACCCACAGAAAUCCUUCGGUUACCUUUUCUACAGACCCAGUGAGAAUGUGGUCUUUGUAGCACGAAGAGGGAUCUUUCGCGAGAAAGAAUUUAUAAGCCAAGGAGACAGUGGGAGGCAGAUUGAUCUUGAAGAAAUUCAAGAAUCAAUUGGUGAAGGAACCUCAGACACUAGCAAUCAACCUGAGGAAGAAACUCCUGUUGAUCCAGCUGACGAGUCUGUACCUCCGAGACGUUCCACACGGGUUAGGAACACACCUUCGUUUUAUUAUGGUUUUCAUAUUACUACGGAAGGUGAUACGUUUAUUAGUGAUAGUACACUAGUAAAUUUGGAUGAACCUAGCAGUGUUAAGGAAGCCAUGGCAGGCCCGGAGUCUGCUAAAUGGAAGGAGGCUAUGGACAGCGAGAUACAGUCCAUGUAUGACAAUCAAGUUUGGAACUUGGUUGACAAUGUACCAGGCCGUAAAACAGUCGGGUGCAAAUGGAUCUUCAAAAAGAAGACCGACAUGGAAGGAAAAGUGCAUACUUAUAAGGCUCGACUGGUUGCGAAGGGUUUUACUCAAACUCAAGGUAUUGAUUAUGAUGAAACCUUCUCGCCGGUGGCCAAGAUUAAGUCUAUUAGGGUUAUGUUAGCCAUUGCAGCAUUUCAUGAUUAUGAAAUAUGGCAAAUGGAUGUCAAAACCGCUUUCCUUAAUGGAAAGUUGGCUGAGGAUGUGUACAUGAAUCAGCCAGAGGGUUUUGUCAAUGCAGAGUACCCUAAUAGAGUAUGCAAGCUUAAGAAAUCCAUUUAUGGAUUAAAACAAGCAUCUCGUAGCUGGAAUCUUUGUUUUGAUGAGAAGGUAAAAGAGUUUGGCUUCUUGAGAAGCGAAGAUGAGUCUUGCGUGUAUGUCAGAGCUAGUGGGAGUAUAGUUAGCUUCUUGGUACUGUAUGUGGAUGACAUACUACUCAUAGGAAAUGACAUCCCAACCUUGCAGGAGGUUAAGUCCUGGCUUGGGAAGUGCUUUGCUAUGAAGGACCUAGGGGAGGCUACCUAUAUCCUAGGGAUAAGGAUAUUAAGAGAAAGGAGUAGAAGACUAAUUGGACUUAGUCAGAGUAUCUACUUGGAUAAGGUGUUGAAAAGGUUCAACAUGGAGAAUUCCAAGAAAGGAGAUUUACCGAUCCAAAGCAAUACCAAACUGAGUAAGACUCAGAGUCCGAGUACAGAGGCUGAGAUAGCUGAGAUGAGCCAAUUACCAUAUGCUUCCGCAGUUGGCUCGAUCAUGUAUGCUAUGACUUGUACCCGUCCUGAUGUGGCAUUUGCUUUGAGCAUGGUCAGCAGGUAUCAGGGGAACCCUGGCAAGGCUCAUUGGACCGCGGUAAAGAACAUUCUCAAGUACCUGCGGAGGACUAAGGAUUGGGUCCUUACCCUUGGUGGCAGUGAUGACUUGAGAAUAUUAGGGUAUAGUGAUGCUGGUUUUCAGACUGAUAGGGAUAAUUUCCGCUCUCAGUCGGGCUGGAUCUUUACCUUAAAUGGAGGGGCAAUUUCUUGGAAGAGUUCCAAGCAGGAGACGGUGGCUGAUUCGACUUGUGAAUCAGAGUAUAUAGCAGCGAGUGAAGCAGCGAAGGAGGCGAUAUGGCUAAAGAACUUCAUCGGAGACCUUGGAGUUGUACCAGCUAUUAAGGAACCUAUAGAGAUUUUCUGUGACAACAAUGCUGCGGUUAUCUUAGCCAAGGAACCAAGAGAUCAUGGCAGAUCCCGACACAUUGACAGAAAAUAUCACUUCAUAAGGCACAAGAUUGAAGAAGGACUCCUUGUGACAAGGAGGAUAUCGUCAGAUGAGAAUCCUGCAGAUCCCCUUACGAAGGGACUGACGAGGGUUAAGCAUUUUCAGCAUGCGAGACGCAUCGGGCUGAGGGACGAUAUUAGUUUUACAGAUUAGAUAGUUUUCCUGAAACUUGUAAAAUGUAAUCGACGUUUGAUGAUGAAUAAAAUUUGUGAUUUAUUUAUGAGUAAAGUGUUACUAUCAUUGUCAAUUAUUUACUAUUGUUUCAGUUUUGCAUGUUUUGACUUCCAGAAUAAUUAAUUUGUUCAAACCUCCACAAUCGAUCAUACGUCGGAAGUAGGUAUGAAUCAAGAUUGUCAUGAAUUGGGUUUGUAGAUGCCUUAAAGGUGUUUAGGCAUGGCAAUGGUUGCUGCAACAUUCAUGAGUACUCAUAAGUUAUGAGUAUUGGUAUAAACCCACGCUCACUUGUAUCACUUCAUGGAAUUUAUCUCGAGUGAUCGUGAGACGAUAACAUCAUAUAAAUCUUUAAACCUAGAGAUAUGAGUUGUUACCUAUGAGUUGGUUGUGCAUUGAUUGCACGUAAACGCAUCAGUAACUUGAUGUUAUAAAACGUGCCUUUGUGUACAAUUCAAUAAGUAGUAGAACAAGCAUAUCAGUCGAAGUUUAUCUGUUCCUUCUAGAAAUAGAAGCGAUAUCCGGGCCCCUCGAUGAUUUUGUGUUGACCCAUAUACCAGGCCUGGUCAGAACUAAACCGAUGUGUUCAGUGAAGUUCUUCGUCAAACAAAUCGGAUAAUCGAGAAACAACUGCUAGACAAUAAGCAAGACAUAGUUCCAUGUGUUUGUCCGGCUGAUAUCAUGAGAACAGAGGAUUAUGUGAUCACUUAUCUAAAAUGGCGCUUCAUAGUUCGACAGAGUCUUCAUUGUUCGAGGGAGNAACUAUUUAUGGAUAAUUUUAUGAGAGUUAUACACAUAUGUUUAUUAAUAUAUUAUAAGUUAUAAUAUAUUAAUAUGAAGUUAUGUUAUUUAAUUAGUAUUAGUCUUAAAUUAAUUAUGAAUUAAUUUAGAGAUUAAAAGGAAGACUAAUUAGAUUAUGGGCUAUUGUUUUUAUAUGGUGUGGGCUAACACUCAUUUGUUAAUGGGCUAGGCUUUGAUGGAAGUCCACGGAUGAUCCAUGGAGCUUUUAACCCAUGGAUCCUUGGAAAGGAAAAGUCAUGGGUUAUUAGGGUUUCACCCUAACCAUGUACCCCAAGUAAAAUUAAUGCCCUUUCGGGUCAACCUGGUGAGGGGGAUGACAAUCUUGAAGAAAUCUCUGAUAAAUCUCCGAUAGUAGCCGGCCAAUCCCAGAAAACUCCUGAUCUCGGUGGGGGAUCUCGGCACCUCCCAUCUCAUAACUGCCUUAAUCUUGGCCGGAUCGACUAAUAUCCCAUCCUGAUUAACUAGGUGUCCCAUGAACUGGACCUCUCGUAACCAUAAAUCACACUUGGAGAACUUGGCAUAAAGCCUCUCGGAUCUCAAUACUCCAAGAAUCUCUCUCAGAUGCUCCUCAUGUUGCUCUUUGUAUCUCGAAUACACCAAGAUAUCAUCGAUGAACACGAUCACCGAUCAAUCCAACAUAGGCCUACACACCCGGUUCAUGAGGUCCAUGAACGCUGUCGGUGCGUUGGUGAUCCCGAAAGGCAUCACCACGAAUUCAUAGUACCCAUAACGCUUCCUAAAGGUCGUCUUAUGGAUAUCCUCCUCGCCGACUCUCAUCUGAUGAUACCCAGGCCUCAAAUCGAUCUUGGAAAACCAAGACGCCCCCUGCAACUGAUCGAACAAAUUGUCGAUCCUCGGAAGUGGGUAACGGUUCUUGACCGUCAGCUUGUUGAACUCCCGGUAAUCAAUGCACAUCCGGUAUGAACCAUCCUUUUUCUUGAAAAAAAGGGAUCGGUGCUCCCUACGGCGAGCUAAUGAUAAAGCCCUUCCCCAACAGCUCCUGGAGCUAUGAGAAUAACUCUUGCAUCUCGGGUGGCGUAAGUCGAUAAGGUGGCUUGGCGAUAGGCGCCGCUCCCAGAACCAAAUCAAUCUGGAACUCUACCUGCCUCUCUGGAGGCACACCCGAUAACUCCUCGGGAAAAACAUCCGGAAACUCACUCACUAUCGGAACCUCAAUGAUAGAACUCGGUCUCUCGGUAUAAGCCCGUGUAUCCAUCACAUACACUACAAACCCCCUGCAACCCUGUUGUAGACUCUGUCUCGCUCUUGCAGCUGAGCAGAAUGUUGACCCAGAUCGGGUACCCUCGCCAUACACUGUAAGCACUCCCCCACUAGGGUCUCAUAUGGUCACCAACUGAUGCUCGCAUUCGAUCACAUCUCCGAAUCGACUCAACCAGCCUAUGUCCACAAUGACACAGACACCACCCAUCGCGAUCGGUACCAGAUCUAUCGGAAUCUCGACACUAAAAAUCUCGAGCACAUAUCCCCGGAUCACAUCAGUAGCAAACACUGCAUGCUCAUCGGCUACAGAAACUCUCAGAUGUUGACUAACACGCCUCACGUUGGAUACUGAUGUGACGAAAAAAUGCUAAUGACAAGAACGAUCGACUCGCACCCGAGUCAAAUAUCACCAAAGCAGGUACAUAACUCACAAGAAAAGUACCUAUGCAUAUCACAAUAUAACUUAAAAUAGAAUAAGUAAAAGAACACAUAUCGGCCACGACAUCAGAUGUUGCGCGAACCUCCUCCAUUGUUAGAUGGAAGGCCCUCACGUGAACCCUCGGUACCUUGGCCUUCGCUGGCCAGCUCUCGGUGGCUUGUAUAGUAGCAGGGGCAGAUCCCUGCACUGAUCCUUAUAGCAGCUGGGGGCACUCGAGCUUCUGAUGGACGGUCUGGUUGCAGUGAAAGCAGACUGCGAACCCCUUUGGGAAAUCCCUCACAAUAUACCCCUCCUUGACACACUUGUAGCAAAUACUCGCUCGACACAUCCCCUCAUGACUCUUUCCGCACUUCCUACAAGUGCGGCCCUUUUGGCCUCCAAAUAUCGAAUCAGCGGGCUUAGCCUGCUUGGCUACCGGUUGCGACUGUGCCAGUCGCCGAUCCCUCCCCUGAGACUCCGCCUCCUCCCUGUCCUGAGUCGCCAUCUCAAUCUUCCUCUUUCGGGGAUUUUCCCGAAGCUCAGAAAAUGACUGGUAAGACGAGUUCGCCAAAAAACUCGCGAAUAUCCCUCUUCAGAAUGCUCAAAUACCGACUCAUAUGUGCCUGCUCGAUAGACAUGUGCUCAGGGUAGAACAACGCCCUCUCAUGGAACAUCCUCGUAAUCAUUGUCACUGGCUUUGUCCUCUGCUUGAGGGACAGAAACUCCUGGGCCAACCGUUCCCUCUCCACUGGGGGAACAUACUCAUCUCGAAACAUCAUAGUAAAUCUCUCCCAUGUCACUGUAGUGUGCUCUGCAGGAUUGUAACUAGCUGUCACAAACUUCCACCAGUCCUUCGCCCCCAAGCGAAGCUGGUUCAGUACGAACCACACCCUCUAGUGCUCCGGACAUGAACAAGUGUAGAAACAUCCCUCGAUAUCAGAGAUCCAUCUCAUCGCAAUAAUCGGAUCCUGAGUCCUAUCAAACUCUGGUGGCUUUGUGUUGCUGAACUCCCAGCAUAGAAACGAGUCACCCCAUGUGGCCUGGCAGCAGCGAAAACUGCGGUGGCUGCAGCAGCAGCCGCCUCGGUAACAGCAACAUAUCGCUUAUCAAAGGUCUCGAUCAAGGUGGUCUUAAUAGACCCAAACAUCUCCGAAAUAUCCUCUCGGAUGGCUGCGACCACCUCGUCAUGAAUCAUCCUGCGAAUCUCAUCAUCGCUAACUCCACUGCUCUCGGGGUUAUGGCGCGUACCCACCAUGAUGUCUCUAAAACACAACACAAAAUAAUCAGAGACUCGCUCGAGUAUACUCGCACUCAAUUACUCGCCCCUACUUGUUCCUUAGCAUCCUAAGGAUUCUUACUUGGACUGCUCACCGAUCCGGUGCUUUUAGUAGUACGGGCCCCAUACUACCUUCCACACCGCUAUCUGUAUUCACCUGAAGUCCUCCUCCUAGGAUCCCAAUUUACAAGUACUCUAUAUCUCACCAAGCACAGAGUACUCUCUUAGUAGACCUCUCAUAACCUCAUUUCUACUAAAUACUCAUACUCAGCUCAUACUCAAAAGCAAAUCACAGAUAGCAGUAACUCCUAGGCUAAGGCAUCACAAAUCAGGCCACUCUAGUCCUAAAAUAUGAAAUAUCUAGCCUACUCUCUAGCAUGCAUAAUAUCUCAUAAAAUAUCUCAUGUAUAUCUCAUAACACAAAAGUAAGGGUAUUUUGGGAUAUCACUGUUCAGGCUCUGGCUGAUUGUACACACUGCUCCAACUCGUUUUCUCUUAAACUCUUUAUCAUUUUGAUAAAAUUGUCACUUUUUGAAAAUUUUUCUCAAAUCCUCAGCUUGAGUCCGAACACACUCGAAGGUAUAUCUGAAUCCCUCAAACCAAGGCUCUGAUACCAACUUGUAACGACGUAAAUUUUCAAACCAAAAUUUUCAAUUUAAAAACACAUUUCUCACAGUAACAAAAUCCCAAAAUGUCACAAUGUCAAAUCAUCAAAUCUCAUAAUCAAAAACUGUAUAUAGGUAAAACUCUAGGAUACUCAAAUCAUAACUUAAUCUUUGAUGUGUGUGUAUAAUCAUGCUGGCGCCUUCUCGUGAUCCUGAGAAGUACCUGAAACACAUAACACAUAACACGGUAAGCACAAAGCUUAGUGAGUUCCCAAAAAUACCACAUGCACAAAUAAUAAGCCACUCGAGGCUAUAACUCGGCAUGGACCCUCCAGUCUCAUGUGUCUCGGUGAGGACCCUCCAGUCUCACGGCUCCGGAUGGGCCNGGUAUGGACCCUCCAGUCCCAUAGCUCGGGUGGACCCUCUGGUCCUAACUUAGGUGGACCCUCCGGUCCUACUUAGUGACUCAGAAAAAUACACAACAUAAAUCACAUAGAAAUAAUGCAAGAUAUCACAGUACUCAACUAACACAUAAGACCCUCUGGUCACAUAGAACUCAUAUUACCACUCUAGGUAUGUAUAGUGAGAAGACUCACCUCGUAAGAAUCGGAUAACCUUGAACUCGUAUCACCAGUCUAGCCUCCACCUAAUACACACAAUAAUUAUCCAUAAUUAAUAUCGGCUCUCAUGAAGCUAGACUAACAUGUUGAUCAAACCCUAAAAGUCAACCAAAAGUCAACGGCAGGGCGUACGCUGUGCGUACCUGCUCUCUACGUUGGGCAUACUCAGUUUCCAUGCAGAUAUCGAGGAUGCUCGACCCCUGCGCUGUGCGUACUGGGAUUACGCCUAAUGAAAGUCCCAGUUUCACUCUCCUCACAUAUUUGGUCUUGAUCAGUUAAGAUCUUAGCUUAUAUCACAGAUCUGGACUCCCUAAUGUCUCUUAAUCCAUAAAGUCAGUAACUUUAAGCCUUUGCAUGGCUGAUUUGGUCACAAACACUCAAAACACUCAUCCUCUUUUCUCAUGGAGCUCAUAUCUCAUGCAUGGAUUGCUUCUAACGACUAAGAUUGGAUUUUUAUGACAUUACUCCACAAAAUACACUAAAAGGGGUGGAUCAUGACCUCUGGGGCUCAUUAACUCAUAAAGCCUCCAUCUUUUGGGACAAAACCCUAAAAUACUCCAUAUAAAUGCACAUAUCAAAAGAGUGAAAAAGCUUGAAGCUUUAUAACUCUAAGUGAAGCUUUCCACACAAGUAUGCUCAGAUCCAAGAGCGUGGACUCUCACUCCUUCUUCUCCAAGGCUUCUUCACCACUUCAAGAACACAAGAAUACACUCACAAUCUCUCAAAUGCACUCAAAAGCUAUAAGGAUGAUGAUUUAGGGUUAGGAGGGCUUGAUGUCUGGGAAUGGUGACCAGGAAUGAGGCCAUCAUAUCCUUUAUAUAGGGUACUCUCCAACAAUUAGGGUCUUUAUUCUAGUCCUAGUACUCCCAGCGUACCCUCUGGUAUGCACAACAUACUAGGUGGCUUCCGCGUCAUAUGCACGCAUACGAGUACGCUGAGCCUACACUAGUACGCCCCACAUACUCGUUUAUCACCUUUUCUCUAAUAAGGGCCAAAAUGGACAGGUUCUCAAAAGAUCAAGGCUUACAAGAUAUACCUAGACUUGGGAUGUUACAGUUUCAGACUUCGGAAAGGUAAAAGGGGGAUUUGCACUCGAAGCGGAAGGCUCAUCUUUACUAGGGUAAGGAAGGAGGCUCGUUAGUUGGGCUCAGUACCUUAGGAAGGCCAUCGAUUAUUCGGGUUUCGGUACUUGUGGGAAACACCAGUUAGUUCAUAAUAGAUAAGGAGAGCCAUGAGCUUAGGGCGUGAGCAGUUUUCAAGGUAGGUGAUCGUAGAAGACUUCGAGGACGUGUUGGAAAUUUGGGACACGCGUGUUGGAAGACCAACUCGACGAGUUGGAUAAGGUUUGGGAAAACCUAAAUAUGAGACUUUGCACCCUAUUUAAGCACCUUAAUCCCCUCAUGCUAGCCUCAUUUCCAGCCUCCAAGUCCCAAACCCUAAAUCCAGAAACCAUAAUGCAACAUUGAGCUUGUGAGCCAUUCUUGACUGAAGUUUUGUGUGUGUUGAAGCUUGUGAAGGAAGGAGAUGCUUGGAGAAUCAAGAAGAAGCUAAUAGAUCGAGAGACUCCAUUUCAUUCUCAUCAUUUUCUUGUAAGCAAGUCUCAAACUUGCUUAAUAACUUCUUAGAUCUCCUUAUUGUCUUUUUAUUGGGUUUUUUUUAUCCAAGAAGCAUGAUCUUUGGGAAAUGGACGUCCCAAGUGAGUAUACCUUCAGAUCUAGAACCUAGAAGGGCUCUCAAGGCAUAAAGGUGGAGAGCGGCGACUGCAUGUUGUUGUCAGCAGUAGGGUUUUUAACAUAGAGUUCUGAUACUAUGUAAGAUAAUAGAUUAUUUUUAUUGUUUUAUAAUAGAAUGUUUCAUUGAUAAAUAGUGAUUUUAAACCUCAUAUAAAUAGGGAUAUAUAAGAGACCUAAUCUAAAACCUAAAGGGGUUGGGCAUAAACCCUAAUCACUAACAUCACCCCACAGUUUGAUCAGGAGAGAGCGAUUAAACUAGAAAAACAAAAACAUAAAACAUAAAAUAAAUGAAGACAUAUGUAGCGACUGGUAUAGCUCUAACGAUGACGGGUAACAACAGCUGAUCGUUGAAGAAUGAGAAAGAAGAAACAGCGGCCAUCGGCAGUUCCUUUGUAUAAGAAGAGAGGAGUGGUGGCAGAGGAGUCCAGAGAAAAGCAGCGAGAAAGAAAGAGGGCUCGAGUUGUAGCAAACGGAGCCUAUUCCGACUGCCUCAGAAAAAUAAAUCGGAAAAAUAGGCAAGUUGAGGAGAAGGCAGAAAGCUUAGUGGCAAGAACAAUGACACAUAAGCAAACGAGGCAGCAGAAGAAGCUAAGGUAAGAACUCUAAUUUGGUAUCGGCGACUGUUUUAUUAUUUAGGAGGAGAAAAAACAAACGUACGGAAUAUGAAGCAUAAUUAAGGCACCUCCAAUGAUAAUGAGAGAAUGACAUCGGAGUUGGAGGGCGGCGGUAAUGGGUUGUGGUCAACGGUAGGAUUUUCACCUAGAUCUCUGAUACCACGUUAUAUAAUAGAAUAUUUUAUUGAUAAAUAGUGAUGUUUAACCUCAUAUAAAUAGGGAUACAUAAGAGACUUAAUCUAAACCUUAAAGGGCUUGGGCCUAAACCCUAAUCACUAACAAUCACACCAAGAAGAAAACCAAAUCAAAGAAGAAAAAAAAAACAUUAGAAGAACACGUGAUCGAGAUACUCUUCUCCAUUUCCACACAUCGCACAAAUAAUGGAGUUAAGCACAAUGCCUUUAUUGACCAAAUUACAAACCAACGGUAUCCUGUUCAUAAGCACCCUGUAAACAAAACAGUAAAUUUUGAUAGGAAUACAAUUUACCCAAAAGAAGCCCCGCAAAGUACGGCUAUCAUACAACUUCUCCAUUCAUGAUAAUUGGAGAGUUUUGAAAAAUAUGAAAACAUUUAAUAGAAAACAUGACCAAUUAUACAAGAACAAACUCAAAUAAUUCAACCAAAAAAAAUCGUUUGCAAUUCUUAGCAUACAUAUUUCAUUAUUAAAAAAAAUAUAACAUAUUGAACUGGAACCUUAUUUUAGUCAUUUGUUCAAGUUCUACAAUAAUAUAAAGAUAUAAAGGUUAAUCUCUUAACAGCCAUUAGUUAUACAUCAUCUUUCCAAUUAGCCUAAUAUUUCUUUUGUUUCAUUUUCAUAAUAUCGAAUAGUUUUGGGGAUGGUAUAUUCUUUUUUAACUUGGCUGUUUACCAAAAGAUUGAAGUUGGCUUGAACCACGUGACCUGUUGAUUAAGACUGGUUGUUAGAUGAGUUCGAGUCUAACUCCCAAUGCUUCCUACUUAUAUUUUUAGGCGAUGACAUGGAAAUUAGAUGCUAGCUAAUGUGCAGCCUCAAACUUUUGGUGAACAACCAAGUUGAAAAAGAUAAAAUCAUUCGAUUUGUUUUUUAAUUCGUGUUUCUUUCUGAUAUUUUUUAUUUAGUUUUAAUCCAGCGUUUGAUUUUGAUACAGUUUAUGUUGGUCGUUUGAAUUAUGAUUUAAUCAAUCUAGUUAAUAAAGUUAGUAAAAUUGACAAUUGUUUUAUUGCCUGAUAAGGCCAUCCGGUAUACGGACCACGAACCCGGUCGUUGUCUACGUGGCCACCGACAACGGCCGUACACACCACCCCAACCGGUCGUGGUUCGUCGUUUUCGUGAUGGAUCGUGGUGCCUACGACGAGACUCAACGCCCAAUCAGGACUUCUUGACCGAUUUCUUCUCUCUCAGCCUUCUUCUGUCCCUCUCUUAUUUCUCUCUCUUCGUUCUCACUGGAGAGUACUCCGGUUGUGGUGGGGUUUUUCGUGGUUGCUCCGGUGGCUGAUCUGGAAGAUCUCCACGACCGUUGUCGUGGAGAGUAUAACAGAUGGUCUAAUGAAUAAGAAACAUCAAAUUGGUUCUAUGAUGGGAUAUUGAGAUUUAAUGCUGAUGUAAAUUGAAAUUUACAUAUUUUUAUGUAUAUGAACCUCCGAGAAAUAUUGAAUAUUUCUGAAAAUUUUACACAAAUCGUAAUGUGAUUUUUUUCUUUUCCGAUUUAGAGCUCGUUUAUUUCCACCCGAUAAUUGAUAGCGUCAUAUGUGGUAUGAAUUCACAUUAUGUUUGUGCUUUGGCCUGUCUUCGUGAUACGAUUCUGGGCUUUGACUUCAACGGUUUCACUAAUAAGGACACCGCCCUUCCAAAAGCCCAACAUUCAUUGGCGAGUGCCCUUUUUAGAAAAAUUGUCCAAGAUAUGGAAGUUCAUUUCGACAUGACGAUUAGGCAAAAAGCAAUUUUUGAGUGUCUAAGGGCCCCACAUGCUCAGGAUUUUCUUAUGACUAUUCCUAGUGACGGUCUUGGCCAAUAUAUGUCGUCAGUGGAGUAUCGUGCCGUCCUCAAGUAUUGCCUUAUGAUCCAUUUAUUUCCAGCUGACGAGACUUGCCCUGUUUGUCGCAAGGCAUGCUUGGACUCAUUUGGGGAGCAUACAGUUCAUUGUAAAGAGCUCCUGGGGUUCAAGUACCGACGCAAUCUGGUUAGGGAUGUUCUUUUCGACAUAUUUAGGUGUGUUGGGAUUUCUGCCAAGAAAGAGGCCCCUGUGAACUUUCUGACUGACCAAUUGGAAGGAAGAUCACCAGUUAGACUAGCUGAUGUUUUAGUGUUUGGAUGGGCUGGAGGAAAAUAUGCAUGCGUGGAUCUAACAGGGGUUUCCCCUCUUGUGGACUUGGGGAGUAGAGUUUUCACUAUGGGGCAAGUUGCUUUAAAAGCUGCAUCAAGCAAAGUGGCAAAACAUGAGAAAACAUGUAUGAAAAAUCAACACACGUUUAUACCCUUUGCAUUUGAUACUUUCGGUUUCCUUGCGCUAGAAGUUGUGGAGCUACUCAAUAGAGUCCAACGGGUCAUGCGUAGUAAUGUUAGAUCUAUAGAUGUUUUUAAAGAAUUUGUUUUGUCAUCCAAAAAAGGGUUCUGGCACAACUUGUUGCUCGUUUACCCACAACGUCUAUGUAAAAAAAAUUUGAUUAUAUGGAUCAAAUGGGUUGAUCAAUUUGAUGGAUCAGAUAGAUAUAUCAACUAGACUAGAUGAAUUGGAUUGAUCAUAAGGAUGGAUGGAUGGUAUGAAUGGAUCCAUUAAAUGGAUUGUUUAUAUUAGACAAAAUUGCAAGUUUGGUCCCUGUGGUAUGUCAAAAAUUGGAUGUUUGGUCCAAAAAGUUUUGGGGUUGUACUGGUGGUCCAAAAGCUUUGAUUUGUUGUGGAAUUGGUCCAAAGGCUUAACAGCCGUCUACCCCCUCCGUCUGUGUGAGGGUAUUUUUGUCAAUUCAUGCUCAUUCCUUUGAUAUCUUAUUAAAUUAAACCUCAUCAUCCUAAUUAAUUGAUACCUGCCGCCAAAUCCUCUGUGCAUUUCGUCGAUCGACUCUCCUGUCACUUUCAUCUUCAUUCGUUACCCAGAAGCCCUAACCUCCAAGUUGAGUUUUUUAUUGUGAUCGGUGUUAUUUCAGUGUAUGAACAUACCAAUGUGGAAUAUAAGGCUCUUAGACAAACCGUUCAACGCAAAGGUGGCUUAUGGUAAGGAUUUUGUAAUUUCUCUGUACAUUACAUGUUUUGUAUGUGAAAUCAUGCUUCUGAACUUAUUUUUGUUGUUGGUUUGAAGAUGGCAACCCAACAUUAUUUACCAUCAAGCUAUACCAUGGAGGUGAGUUCACCAAGUUUCCUGAUGUUCAAUACAUUGACGGAAGUGUGAACUAUGUUGACAUGGUGGAUAUAGACACGUUUUCAGUUCAUGAGUUGGAUGCUAUCAUGAAAGGGUUCAGGUACGGUGUUCCUCCUGUGAUUUACUAUCACUUCCUUGUGCCUGGUGGAGACUUCCACUUUGGUCUUAAACCCUUAGGCAAUGAUGAUGAUUUACGAACUUUUGCCCAAUAUGUGUGUGAUCACAAAAUCAUGAGGGUAUAUACUGAACAUGGUGAGACAAAGUUACUUACCUACUUUAUGAAUCCUAAACCUGUUAAGAAGGUAACUAUUGUACAAAUGGAUGAAAUAGAUGAAAAUGAUGACAAUGAAAACCACACAGCUGAGGUACAAGAAUUUCCAAGCCCACCUAGAUCAUCCCCUGUUGAGGUUGAGGUACAACCAUUACAUGUCGAGGUUCAUGAUAGACAAAAAGAGCUUAUUGCCAAUGACUUUAUGGAGGCAGCUACAGAAUUUGAUAUUGGUUUGUAUCAAAAGAUGUUACAAUCAAAUGCAGAUGUUCAUGAACAUGUACAAGUAGAAGUGGAAGAACAUGUUCAAGAUGAAGUAGAAGAACAUGCACAAGUAGAAGUAGAAAAAAAUGUACAAGAUGAAGUGGAACUGGAUCAUGGACAUGAGGCUUCCAUGGAAGACAACUUGGAUAAUUACAUGGAUAAUUACAUAGACAACAACAUGGAUGAUUACAUGGAGACUGAAAUGGAGCAUGACAAUGGGAGCAAAUCUGAUGGAGAAGAUGGGAGCAUAUCUGAUAGGGGAGAGGGUAGUCACUGUGAUGAGGAAAAUGACAGUGAGGAUAGUGAGGAUAGUGAUUGGGUGGAUGAGGAGAAUAUCAUUCCUGAAGUUGAAGUGGAUAUGAGGGAUUUCCACAUGAGCAUUGACACUGAAGCAGAGUUUUUUGAGAAAAGACUAAGGAAUAGCAUGGAGAAAGAUAGAAAUCAGGAGCAUGAAGAUAUGGAGUUGGAUGUUAUUGACAAUGAUGAAUGGGAUUCAACAGAUGAUGAUUCUGAGAUGGGCAAGAAGAGAAGACAAGUUAUUAAAGAAUUAGGUAAGGAAAAAAGGUGUUCUUUAGGAGAAGUUCAUAAACCAACAUUUCGUAUAGGACAAAAAUAUAAAAGUAAAAAAGAGUUGAAAGACAAAAUUGCCCAUCAUGCCUUGGAAACCAGGAAGAAUCUUUUUAUUAAGAAAAAUGAUAAACUUAGGUUGCGGGCCACAUGCAAAGGAAAAGUAGUAUUCAAUGAGGGGCAAGUGGAUGGACCUACCACUGGGAAGAAAAGUAAAGGCAAAAGUAAAAAGACAAAGACAAGUACUGAACUGUCUUGUCAGUGGGUUUUACAAGCAUCUAGGAAAAGUGAGGAAGAAAGUUGGUGUGUGAAAACCUACCAACCUGAGCAUUCAUGUCUCAAUACAAGAAAGGUAAGAACGGCCACAGCAAACUUCAUCUCUAAACAGAUUAUGGAUCUAGUGGAAUCUAACCCAACUGUGCCAAUCAAAGCUGUACAAGAACUACUUCAGAAAAGAUAUCAGGUGAGCUUCUCCAAAGACAAGGUAUUUAGGGCUAUAGCAGAUGCCAAAAAACAUGUGAUGGGAGACUACACAAAACAAUAUGAUGUGCUGAGAGAUUACAUAUUAGAGUUGCAGUCCACAAAUCCUGACACAACUGUGAAACUGGAACUGGUUCCAGAACCAAAUCUUGUAAAUGCAACUUCAAGAUGUUUUCAGAGAAUUUAUAUUUGCUUGGGUGGAAUGAAAAAGGGGUUCAAAGCAUGCUUAAGGGAUUUUAUUGGUUUAGAUGGGGCCUUCAUGAAAGGAGCUUACCCAGGGCAGAUCUUGACUGCAGUUGGCUUAGAUUCUAACAAUGGUAUAUACCCAUUGGCAUACGCCAUUGUUGAGUCUGAGAGCACACAAAGUUGGAAAUGGUUUCUAGAGUACCUGGGAGAUGAUUUGGACCUGUCACAACUUUCAAACUUCACUUUCAUAAGUGAUAGACAAAAGGUAAUAGAUUUCCUUGAUGUAUUUUAGUUUUCUUAUUACACUUGUAUUAUACUAACCACAGUUUAAUGACUUUGUAGGGCUUAAUUCCAGCCAUUGCACAGUUGUUCCCGGUUGCUGAACACAGAUUCUGUCUUAGACAUAUCUAUGAAAACAUGAGGAAGAGAUGGAGAACUACUGAGUACAAAGAAAAGUUAUGGAACUGUGCCAAAGCCACAACAGUGCAAGAAUUCAAUCGUUUGAUGAAAGAGUUUAGUGAAUAUGACAUAGAAGCUUAUGAAUGGUUGAAGAAGAUCCCACCACAGCAUUGGGCUAGAAGCCAUUUCACAGGUAGACAACUCUCAAUUCAGUGCUAAGUUACACAAAUUUGUUGUAUGCUAUUCUAAAUUACAAUUAUCUUGCAGGUAGACCAAUCACAGACAUGCUUUUAAAUAACCUAUGUGAAGUGUUUAACAGUAAACUGAUAGAAGGUAGGGAUAAACCAAUAAUCACAUGCUUAGAGUACAUUCGGGAGUACAUGAUGAAGAGGAUUUGCAAUGUGAUAAAGGUUCAACAGAAGUGUGCAGGUCCAUUGACUCCAACAGCAACAAAGAUCAUGGAAACAAACACAACAAAUGCUUCUAACUACAUAGCCAGGUGGAAUUCCUCAGACAAGUAUGAAGUACAAGGACCAUGGCAAGAUCAACAUGUUGUUGACAUGGGCCAAAGGGUAUGCAGCUGUAGGAAAUGGGAAUUAACAGGAAUUCCUUGUAGGCAUGUGAUUGCAGUCUUAUUUGAUAAAGCUGACAAUGGUGAGGAUGUGGGUGAACUUUACACUUAUGUACACAAGGUGCAUUGGCUUGAAACCUGGAAAGAGGCUUAUUCCUACAAGGUAGAACCAAUCAAAGGUCGUAUCAUGUGGCCUGUUAGUGAUUGUCCAAUAAAGAUCAGCCCUCCUCCACAUCGUAAUCAGCCUGGUAGGCCCAAGAAGAAGAGGCAAAGAUCCAUGGAGGAAAAAUCUCAAAGUCAGAGCCAAACUCAAAGUCAAAGUCAAACAAUUGGUGCUAGUGGUAUAGAUGGUCAUGGUCCAGGGGGCAGUGGAAAACUCACAAGGAAGUUCAUUACUGUCACUUGUAGCAAGUGUAAAAACAAGGGACAUAAUGCAAGAACAUGUAAGGGGCAAUGAGGAAAUUGAUGUGUUGUCUUGUUGGAUUAAGAUGAUGUAAUGUGUUACUUUUGGGAACCAUUGUGUUGUUCUUUUGGGUGUCUGUUUAAUGGUUUUGAUGUUUUUUGGACAACUUUACCCUCCGUUUAGAAUGAUGUUUUUUUUGGUCAUGUAACAAGAAUUUGGUAUGUGCAAACAAUGGUUAUUAACUUUGGAUGUUCUUUUGUUUAUGCAUCAUUGUCCUUUACUUUUUAGCAUCUUUAUGUUACUAUUAGGUUAUGUUAAGCAUUAACAGUUUGUCCCAUCACUGCUAUGUCUAGUAGAACCAAAAUAUUUGGAUGUUUGAAACAAAUAACUUCAUUACCCACUAACCAUAACAAUGCAUUAACUUGCAUGUCCAAAAGAGUACAUUCACAAACAUAGCAAUUUUCCCAAAUCUACCGCAAAAUAAACCACUAAAACAUGGAAGAACUACUUCAUCAGAAAAAAAACAAACCCAAAAAAAACCCAGCUACAUAUCAGGUACAACUUUAGUUUUGAUUUUUCUUCCUUUAUUUUUCCAAUAUCAUACUUGAACAUUUGAUUUUCUUCCUUCAAUUUUCCAACUUCAGUCUUUAGCUUGUUGAUUGAUCUCAGCAACCCAGGUAUUAUUGAUUUUGAUCGUUCACACAUUUGAGGGUCGAUCCAUCCCACAAACCCACAUGUCGAAUCCUAGCAAAAUAUAAGAAGGAAUUGAGGGAUCAGUGAAAAAUCUUCAUAACCAACCACAUGAAUACUAACCUCUUUAGGGCAUCCCCAAAAACGUCGACCAGGGUUCUUAUCAGUCCAAGCCGUUCGCACUAUCGCCAUUUGACCACAAAAACACCUCACCAUUGUUGAUUUUGAGUUUGGAAGACACGAUUUUGAUUUUAGCAAGAGGAGAUAUCGAUUUAGGGAAAAGAUGAAACACAUGUUCGAUCUAUUAAUAAGGAGAGUAGACGUUAGGGGGGUUUAAUUUAAUAAGAUAUCAAAGGAAUGAGCGUGAAUUGACAAAAAUACCCUCACACAGACGGAGGGGGUAGACGGCUGUUAAGCCUUUGGACCAAUUCCACAACAAAUCAAAGCUUUUGGACCACCAGUACAACCCCAAAACUUUUUGGACCAAACAUCCAAUUUUUGACAUACCACAGGGACCAAACUUGCAAUUUUGUCUUUAUAUUAAAUAAUUAAACAUGUAAGAUGGUUAGAUGGAUAUAUCAAAUACAGUAGAUUAAUCGGAAUGGUUAUAAGGAUGGAUUGAUGGGAUGAAUAGAUCCAUCAAAUGGAUUUUUUUAUAUAUACGAAUCAAUUUAACAUUUUAGAUGGAUUGAUAUGAUGGAAAUAUGGGUUAGAUGUACACAAGGAUUGAUCGUUUAGAUCGAAUGAAUGUAUGGACUACAUGGACGAUUGAUCAAUUAGAUCCUAAUCGAUGGAUAUGUUGAAUGGUGGGAUUAUUUAUGAGGAAAAGAAUGGAAAAGGUUUUUUUUUCUAAAAAAUUACAAAAAUACCUCCUAACGUUACAGAAAUUUACAGAAGUUGUCGGUGUAAGGUUUAGAAAAUUACAUAAACAGUCACUGGAAGCAACUAAGAGUUAGAGAAAUAGUGUCCUUAUAAGAAAUAGUUACAUAUAUGGUCCAUGUAAGAAGUAACUACAGAAAUUAAAUUACCCAACGAUAUUAUAAAAACGGUCCCUGUAUAACAACGAUAUAAAACAAUUGAUUAAUCCUCAAUCAAGCUUUACGAAUACGAUCACGCCACGAGCCUUGUUGCAAUGACCUAACCUACAUCAACAAACAAAACCAGCAUCAAGAAAUCAAUCACAAACUUGAUCAAUCAAAAAGAUUCACAUUUCACAUACCUGAUCACUUAUAAGACUUGUUGCAACAGGGGCAGUUUCGGGACUUUCUCUUGUAAUAUCAUUUCCUUCUGCUUCACUGUCUGUAUCCACAGGUGGUGCAAGCGAUGAACUUCCAAAAAUGGCCUCAUCAUGAGUAGCCUUUAUCUUCUCCUCUCUUCUUGCCUUCAUGAUAUCCAGAAUUCAAACUCAAACACAUUUGCAGAAUCACAGUUCCCAUUAAUGGGAAUGCUUGAAAAGAGAGAAGGUGUAGAUUGGAAAAUACCUCCACAGCAGAAAACCGAAAUGUUUGACCAAUGUGCUUCACUAAAUCGACAUCAUCUUCUGCAGCUGAAAGAUGCAUAUGAUAGUAUAUGAGCAUCAUUGUGAAAGAUAUAUUUAGGUGAAUCAUGAAUGUUGAUUAAAUUUAACCUUCAAUCUCCUCAUCAUCAAGUGGAGCAUCUUUGUCAAAGUCAAACCUCUCCCAUCCUGAUCCCAUGCCAUUUGCUUCGUCUUGUUUGGCUGCAAAUGAUAUAGCAGUUGGCAAUUGGCAUAAUUCAGUAAGUAAUAAUCAUCAUACUCCAUUACAUUAGGUUUACCAGUUGCAGAAAGCUGGAGCUUCAUCUUUGCUUUGACCCUUUCUGCUGGUGACUGCAUGCAACACAAAAUACAUUCGUUAGCCUGUGACUUCAUUGGUAAAGAAUCUGAAAUCAUAAGUUUGAUCCUGCUUGAAUUCGAAUUGGAGUGAACAAAUUCUAGUUUCGUGUUCCAUCGGAAUUUUGGCAUUUGUUAUGAUAAAUUGACGCAAAAGGAUUUUGAGAAGGUUACCAUUUUGUCAUAGCCUUCAAUCAAUUUUGCAUAAUCAACUCUACCGGUUUUCUCCUUUCUAGCAUUCCUGUCAUCAUCAUCAGCUCUGCUCUUUUCCGAUCUCCGAUGCCGGGGAGACAAGCUUCUACUCCUCCUCCGGCUUCCCUUACCUCUAUCCCUAUACCGAUCCUUUUCUUCCUUCCUAUCUCUAUCUCUACUACUCGACCUAUGCCUACGCCGAUUCCUCGAACGCUCAUCACCAUCUCUGCUUCUACUUCUACUUCUCCGACGUCUCGAAGAAUGUUUAUCACUUUCUCUAUCUCGAAAAUGAUGAUCGUCUGAAACCCUAGACGAAGAAGACGAAUUAGGUUUUUUCUUGAGCUUGUUUUGGAUAGAUUCGAUUUGAGCUUGUUUCUGAUCAGAAGACUUAGAAGGACUCGAAGCUCUGACGAAACUGCUGAGGAACGACGAAGAAGAUGGAAGAGCCGAGCCUCUGGCGGGUACUGCGUCGCUAUGGUUGCUGUUACCGGUGACAUCGGGUGAAGAAGAGGAAAAUCCAAGCCCUUGUUUGAAUCUGGCGGCCCCACCGCCUUUGCGAGUAAGCUCAUCGUAGUAUGCUGCGGCUUUUUCUUCCUCCAUUGAUAUUGAUUGAUCUCCAAUGGCGAUGAAGCUUGGACAAAGAAAUGCACUGGGGGAUUAAACUGUAAAUUGAUAUGACUUUUAGGUCCCUAUAAGUUCAAUUUAUACCAAAUUGAACCUCUAAGAAAUUAGAAGUAGGGUUGAAAAUAGUAAAUUGUUUUAGGCUAAGUUCGACCUAAACUUGAUAAUUGGAUGAAUCGACUUAUAGUUAUAGGACUAUAAUAAUUUAAAAAUAAUUUUUGCAAAACAAGUUUUAUUUGAAACUGAAAAUAUUCAUAAAAGUUUGAUACGUAAAAUCAUUUAUAAUAUUCAUAAAAGUUUGAUACUCAAAAAACAUUUAUUAGAAUUUAUGUUGAUAUAUUAUGGUCAAACUACACUUCAAUAAAGGAGAAGUCCAAAGCUAUGUUAAGUGGUGCCUAUUGUGGUAUGAAGUUACUUAUUCCUACUACAAAACAAUAUGAGAUAGUGACGAAGGUAGGUUGCAUUAGAUAAAAACUAAAUCUAAAAAUCAAAGUCAAUUUCAUAUCAUGGUUGUCGAUGAUCGAGGCGAUUAACAAUCUUAGACACCUUAUGGAUAAACAAAUAUAAAGAGAAUAGAGAUCUACAUGCAUUGUUUAAUGACUUCGAGAAAGGGUAUGAUUGUAUACCAUUGGAUACGAUUUGGAAGACCCUCUAAGCUCAAAAUGUGACAUGGUGAUAUAUCAAGGCCAUCUGCAAUAUUUAUUGUGGUCUACAACAUGUUUUUGAAUUGUGGUUUGGGAAAUGAAGCAUUUCCCUAUAGAAUUUUGGCUUCAUCAAAGAUCGACUACUUAACCUUUACGCAUUCAUUUUCAUCAUAGACAUGUUUUUUCUUCAAAUUCAAUGAGGGUUGCAUGGUGCAUGUUUUUGUUGAUUAGAUGGUUUUAAUGGCAAUGGUUGGGACUAAGAUUAAUGUUGAGUUAGAUAUUUGGAGGACAAAGCCGAAAAAAAAAGUUUACAAAUCUUAAUUAAGAUUUAAUCUNNNNNNNNNNNNNNNNNNNNNNNNNNNNNNNNNNNNNNNNNNNNNNNNNNNNNNNNNNNNNNNNNNNNNNNNNNNNNNNNNNNNNNNNNNNNNNNNNNNNNNNNNNNNNNNNNNNNNNNNNNNNNNNAGUAAGUUCAACAUCCAAAUGAUAUUUUUAAGCACUUUGAGGUCAAUGGCCCAUAGGGUUGGCAAUCUCAACUCAAACAUGUUAAUCCAAUAUGAAUCUAACCUUAGGUUGAGUUGAGAUUUUCAACCUAAUUAUGUAAACGGAUCAACUCGUUCCGUUUAAUUAAAUGGAUUGGGUUAGAUUUUAAAUUUCCGACUUGCUACAACCCGCCAAAUUGUUUAAUUUUUUAAAAUAUUUUUAAAUUUUGCUUAUUUUGUAUUAUUAUUAUUUAAUUGAUUAUUGUAUUUUGACUAUUUAUGGUUUCAAACAAAAUGUGGGUUAGUAAACGUUAUUGGAAGUGAGUUUGUAAAAGUGAAAAUUAAGUUGCAAAAAUUUUAGAAAUUAAACAUUCAUAAAAAAACAUUAUGGUGGUAAAUAUUUUAUUUGUGUUAAUGAAGUGAUAGCCGUUUUAUGGUGGUAAAUAUUUUAUUUGUGCUUAAUGAAGUGAUAGCCAUAAGAUUGUAUUAGUUUCAAACUUGAACAAUUAUUGAAGUUUUUUAGUUUUUUUAAAUUGCAUUUGAAUGAUUAUUUAAUUAUUAAGAGUUUUUUGGAAUAUUAAAUGAGUCAAUCCGUGUUUAGCCUAUUUAUUAAAAAAGUUGGUUGAGAAAACAAUAAACAUGCCAACCCAAUUACCAAAAAGAUUGGGUUGGGUUUUGAAUUCACAACAUGUUUACUUAAACAUGUUGGUUACGGAUAGAUUUUUGAUCCAUUCAAUUAAACAUGUUAACCCGUUUAAAACCCAAUCCAACCCAACUCAUUAUCAUCCAUAAAAUUGGCCCAUAAAGGAGGGUUGUUAAUGAGGGUGUAUGAAACACCUCUCGUACAUCCUAUUUGAUAUUAUAAUUUAAAAUUAUACGUAUAAAAUAUUUUCAUAAAAAGAAAAUCAUUUAAAAAUCUAUUUGUCGAUAGAGGUCUCACACAGUAAAGUCUUAACAUUUAAAAACAUUUGAAUUAUCAAGACACGCGAGAAUGUAACUAUAACACCCUGUUUCAAAUCAUUAUGUGAUUCAGGGCCCGUGGACUGAAAUUCGGAUAUGUGAAGGCUUUGGGGAUCCAAGGAAAAUGUUUGGACUUUAAUGAAAGAGUUUUUUUGUAAGGACAUAUAGGCCCUUAAAUCGUGUAUUAGAACCAAGGGUGAAAUGGGGAAAUCUAUGUGUCAGGCCACUUGUGAGUUUUAUGUUCGACCGGUGGUGAGCCAAAAGUAAUAAGAUAAAAUUGUAGAGCUUUUCGAUACCUUUUUGUGGAUAUAAAGAACGCCACAAACGCAGUUGGAAUGAAGAAGUUACGAUUAUUUGAAGUUGAGUUGGAAUUUGGAUUGGUUGUAUGCAGGGCGUACAUGGUAUGUACGUAGGGAGUACCUCAUUAAAAGAGCUGAGAACCCUCUUGAGUACGUUGGGCGUAGAAGGAAGUACGCAAGGCGUACUCACACAUAUCUAAAACCCUAAUUUUUAAUGUUUGAGCCCUAUUUAGGAUCCUUAACUUCAAGGAAACCUCUCCAUACUCAGCCUCCACUUCUCCAAAGUAUCAUCUCGAAACCCUAUCCCCAUUUGUGAAGAUUUUAAGCCCAUUGAGUGUUUUUGGGUGUUAAUAGUACAUCUUAAAGAAGAAGAAGAAGUCUCUUAUUAAGGAUUUUGUGUUGAUCAAGCUUGAAGAUCGUGAACCACCAUCUCCUAUGGGAACCCCAUGAAGUAUAAAGUUUCAACCUUUAUGAUUCUCAUGCAUAGAUAUAUUUUAGCUUAAGGUUUUGGCAAGUUUUGGUCCCAUGGUAUUGAUUAUUGUAAGUGAAAGCUACUCCAGAGCUUAUGAUAGCAUUUCUUAAUGUUUCUGAGGAUUCUAGUGCAUAAAAUCGGACCUUGAUGGUUGUAGUUCAACCAUGCAUGAGUUAUUGUCCCCCUUGUGAAGUUAUGAACCUAGGGUUUGGUUUUCGGCUUCUUUAAGCCAUGAAAAUGCAUAAAGCCAAGAACUUUAUGAGUUAGGAUGUCAUUUAGGUUUAGAUCUAAGUGUUGGACAAUUUAUUUUAAUGGUUUAAGAACUCAAAAAAUGAAGUUUGGCGUUAGAGCGAAUACGCCCAGCGUAACUUCAGGUACGCAACGUGUAACUCAUGCCUUGCCUAUUUUUUUGUGGAAGCUUGGUAUACAAUGCAUAGUAAAGGAGUAUACAUGGCGUACUCCCAGAAGUUGGAUUAUGUUAUUUUUGCUCUUUAGGCUUCGUUUGGUUGGGUCUAGAAUGCGAAGGGUAAAAUGGUCUGUUACAUUUAGAAAAAGAGGGAAUAUGAAUUGGACCCUUGAGUAUGGGUUACUACAGUAACAUCCAUACAAUUCAAAAAAAAAAAUUUAACUUUUUAAACAUCCUAAAAACCAUUCAUUGUUUACAAAUUGUUUUCAAAAUAGUUUAUCAUCAGAGUAAUCCUAGAAAUCAUGACAUAAAAUACGAAGAGGUGCACAAUCACGCCUUCGCCUGCCCGCGAUCAUCUGACGUACCUUAAACAUAAUCCAAAACUAUAAGUCAAAGCUUAGCGAGUUCCCCCAAAAUACCGAUACAUACAAAAAAAAAUUGUCUGGUUACUUCCUUGUGAAGGCAUGAUUAUGUUGUAUGAUGAGAAACGAGAUCGUUAGCAACCAUGGUCGUUUCUAGUCAUAUUCCAUCUAUUUAUAUAUAUAUAUAUAUAUAUNUAUAUAUAUAUAUAUAAUUUAUUUUGUUGAACUCUUCUCAAUGUUCCUACCAACAUCCCUGAGAUGUACUUAUGGUAGGGGGUAGAAGUAGGUAUUUUACAAGUGUUAGGUUUACUAAAAUAAACUAUGGGUGCCUAGGGCUUUCUUCGUGGUUAGGAUGGGUAGCACCGUUACCCAACCCACUGGUACCACUUGCAUGGAUUUGAGUCAUGUCGGCUAUUACAGCGACCUGAAACACAGUAGUGUCGUACAGUGGAGGAUUUGUUGACAUGUCGUUGAGGGCACGCCUUAUAGGUCUAUGGGGAGGCACCCUUCUACUGUGAGUUUUUUUAAAGAUGGAAUGGUGGUAAGUCCUUAGUAGUGGUCCUAAGUCGAGUGUCGUUUGAACUAAGUUAUCUUAGUUUUUUGUGUAUCAUGUUCCGACUUUUAUAGUGUUUUGAAAACAAUUCAUAACAGAGGUCUAUGACAAUAGACUUAUGAAUUUUUAAUAGUAACCACCCUCAAAUGAAAUUCCUUGACUUGAUUCACUGUUACUAAUUGCGAUGAAAGAGGCAAUAAUCCCAACACAUAGUGUGAGUGGUAUAAUUAAUAACCCACUAGUUAUGUUUGUUUAUUAAUUAUUAGUGUGACGCAUAAGGAGUUCGACCUCCUCACAUGAUUCGCGAAUGGUCUCUUUUGCUCUCUGUCCUAAUUAUGGUUACCCUAGACUGGACCGAAAUGCCUAAGCGGGCUCUCCAGUUUGUUUCUGAUUGAGUAAGGUUGAUCUCUCUAGUGCCUUUCUCUUCGUCCGAUCUUUUAGUGAAAUUCUCCUUGUUAACCCUCUUUUGGUUCUUCCCCGACUCCUCUGUUGGUUGUGGUAGUGGGGUUUCGAUGUCUAGGUAUGUCGUUUAUACGUGAAUUAGGGAUGUAUGAAGAAUCUAUGAGAUUAACAAAACAUUUAUUAUGUAUUUUUAUGGGGGUGAUCCUUACUGUAUCCUUCUAUAAUCACAUAGUGUAUACAGGUUAUAUAUAACCAAUAUCAAAUAGGUUUUCAGUUAAGUGAUCCUACUCUAAGACCACAACCAAACAAGGAACAUGAAGUAGAGCGAAAAUCACAAAUUCUAAGUCUAUAAAAUCUCAAUUAUAUAUAACCUUAACGUAUACACUCCGAAAUUAUAGACCUACCAGGAAGGGUCUUUUAGUUUUCGCAUAAGUUAGUUAUAGUGCCUAAAAUACUCCUAUAGUAUUUUAAACUUUAUGUUUGGUUCUAGUGCUCCUUAUUAUAUAGAGCUGGUAAGUUUUAGACUUAUUGCAACACCACAAUCUCUCCCAAACACAUGUUGGUCGUAUCUCGAAUAAAUAUAGUUGAUCAAGCUAUAUUUAUCCCAGGUACGAUUACAUAACUGUCUAGGUUUGAUUGUAGUGUCUAACCUCUAAACACUUCUGUUUUGUUCUUCUUGUAAUACUUGUUCUAGUAUGUAUGCAUGUUCGUAUACUUCUCAUAAAAUACUUAUGUUUUAAAAGUAUACUUUUAGUCAGAGCACUUCGGCCCCUUUGUAUUUAUAGUUGCAUAUCUUCUUAUGGGUUGAUAUACUGAGUUCACUAUAAACAAUGUUUUGAUACCAAUCUGUCACACUCCAAAACCGAGACGACGGAAAUGUUCGGGGGCGGAGGACGUCAUGUACAAUAUCAUCACAAAUGAAUAAUAGUAAUCAAAGCAACAACAACCAUUGUAUUGAAUAUAUAGUGUUUACAUUAUAUUCGAAACAUAGCUUGAAUGAAUCUAAUGCAUAUAGUAAAAAUUAAGACUGGAAGCUAUCAUGCUCCGUCUUCUUGAAAACCUACGCGUGUACCUGCCUACUGGUUUCCUGAGAAUACAAGUAAUUUUGAAAGUGUAUCAACAUUUAAGUUGGUGAGUUCAUAAGCAUUUGUUUAGAAAAUAAGUUCCUUGUUCUUUGAAAAUGUUCGCACUCUUCCAUAAAAUCUUGUAUUUUUUUAGUAGAAUGGAAUGCAGUCUUAGUCCCUUGGGACCAAAAUGUAUAAAUGUUAUCGUAUUCUUAAGUAGUAAUAUUACGUAGGUUUUUAAUCUGUAUAAAAACCAUUUAGAUGCAUGAUUCCCAAAACGAGAGUUGUGUUGUACUUGAAAAUAAUGCAAUGUAGUUUUAAGAUGAUACAGCCAUUAUGCAUGCAUGCUCUCGGGUAAAAGUUACUCUAGCUAUGUAAGUUUCUAUAUCAUAAAAUAGUGUACUCCUAGAAAGACCUAUAGCUUUAUUCUAUACUCCCCCAGUAUAUAUAAAGUUAUAUAAAAAUUGAGAUCGAAUAAACCAUCGGCUAUAAUGGGUCUGCCCUAAGCCCACAACCACACAAGGAACAGGAUCUAAGGCGGACCCAACCAUUUCUAAGUCGAUCGCGUCUAAAUUUUUAUAUCACCCUGCCGUAUGCACAUAGCAAUUAUGGAUGGAAUCUAACCAUUCUAAACGAUAUGUAGUCUUAACUAUCCUAAGACCGAUAAGAGUGAAUGUUUAUUUUUGGAAAUAGUAUACUUCAGUAGUACAUAAUUAGAACUUCUUUUCUUUUUAAAGGUAUUGUAUGUUAAAGAAAAAUCCAAUAUUUUCCUUAUAGAAUAAGUUGCCGUCUUAGAGCUCAAAGACCGAAUUGUACAAGUAUCUUCCAUACUUAUGAUAGUAAGUACGGUUUUAAACAAAUAAAACCCUUAUGGAUGCAGGAGUUCCCGUAAACUAUAUGUGUCAUUGUUUCCCUAUGUGAGUUAUUAUAACCGUGAAAUUGACAUAGUAAGCCUGUUACGAUGUUCGUCAAGCGUCGGAAUCUUUUGACAUCUGUCACCCCAAACCUGCCGAUUUAGCUAUUGUAUGCCACUUAGGGUGCGGGGUUGUCAGUCCUAAUAUAGAUCUAUACACAAGUAUCGCGCUCUCCCUACAAGAGAUUAUGGUUAUAAUACAAGAAUUUAAACAAUACUCUCUGAGUACAAAUGAAGUAGUAUCUCGAAAAUUUGAUCCAACGAGUUUACGUGUAUUGUAAAUGAAAACCCUUUUUGAAAUGUAAGAAUCCCCAUAAACUAUAUGUGUCGUUGUUUCCCUAUGUGAGUAAUUAUAACCGUGCAAUUGACAUAGUAAUCUUGUUACGACGUUCUUCAGGCGUCGGAAUGUUUUGACAUUUGUCACCCCAGACCUGCCGUUCUAGCUAUUGUAACCCACUUAGGGUGCGGGGUUGUUAGUCCCAAUAGAGAUCUAUACACAAGUAUCACACUCUCCCUACAAGAGAUUAUGAUUAUAACACAAGACUUUAAACAGUAUUGUAUGAGUACAAUCAAGUAGUGUCUCACAACCGGAUUUAACGAGUUUACGUGUAGAGUGAGUGAAACUUUCCUUAAUAUGUUUGUAGUGUUAAUGUGUUGGGUUUUGAGCAUUCUAACACUCCUAAGUGUACAUGCAACCCUAAAUACCUUGGAUCUAUUUUUUCUCUAUUAUACAUGCAAAUAUGAACUUUCCAAGGUAUUCAUCCUAACUAGCAUAAUAACAUUGAUUCAUAUGAAUAUCUCAAGUUAAAAUUACAUACCUCUUUGAUGUAGAAUGUCUUCAUGAAGCUUGAGUGCCUAGUUCCCCAAGUGUGACACCUCAAAUUGUUCACACAACACCAAAUACACUUGGAAUAACUUGAGAGAAUAUACACUUCAUGAAAAUCGGCUAGCCCUUUCACAUAUAUUCUAGUGGCUGAUUUUGUCCAUAAUAAGAUGCUUAUAUAGUUAGUGACAACUAGGGUAAACCCUAAUUGUCAUGGCUUUCCAUUUCCUUGGAUCCAUGGGUUCAAAUAUACCAUGGAGCAUCCAUGGAGCAUCUUAUGGGUUUUAGCCCAACUUGACAAUCCAUGGACCAUUAGCCCACACUACAAGAAAACGACCCUUUUACGAUGCACAAAACACGACGCUCAUUGAUUUAUGUUACGUAAGAGAGAGUGACAUUAAAAAGUGUCAUCUCUUCAAAAAAAAUUAAGUAUUUAUGUCACGCAUUAUUGAGUGCCCUUAAAAUUAGUGUCUAAUGUAAAAAACAUAAAAACACGGAGGGCACUUAAUGUAAAAUGUGCACCGUCUCAAUAAAUGUCGCAUUAUAAUUUUAAAGAAAGGUGCGCGUCUUGGCACAAUAAUCGAGGUUACUAAUAAAAUAUGUAACACUCACUAUUCAUCAGUCACUUCACUCUCUACGAUCGAUCGACUCUGAGACCUCGACUCGCCUCCCCUUGCAGACAACAUCUCCUCCUCCGAUGUUAGGUUACUUCUCCUCCGGCUGAUUUUGCCUCGCCGACGACUGUGGGCUCAACUGACAUCAUUGGAGACUUCUCAAAUUUACGUGCCCUAGGUCCGAUUAAGGUGUUCCUGUUGAAACGAUUUAGGCCAAGUGAACUUCCCGGUUGGCCAGAGAACCCUGUAACAGAAGAGAAAGAGCAGAAGAAAGUCGACACAAAGGGAAGAAGCGCCUGGUAGCCAUGAAUCUAAUACUAAGCUGAACACAUUCAAGGGUUUCUCACCUACUAAAGCUUCUCAAGUUGAACACAAGGUAAAAUCUCAAGCUUCUCAAGUUAUGUGUAAUGUUUUUAUCCCCUUCUUUCAUCUUGCGAACAUUUGCUCUACGUUUUAUCCCAAACUUUUGCCUUGUCCUCAAGGUGAAGAAAGGAUUUGCUAACCGUGUAUGUAUAAUGUCAGUGGCCUAAGAAAAGAGACGAAAAAUCCCUCAAAAUUCUCUUUAUCAAACUCCCCUGUGAGAUGUUUCUCUUCAGGUUCUUCAAACUUUGGCUCUUCUUUGGUGCUUAAAACAAGAGUCUUCCCCUCAAGUUCUUUCAACUGUCCAACAUCAUCUCUAAGCAAUCCACCGAGGUUAGUCUUGUUUACUUGGCCAGAUUUAUCUGUUUCGUUCAUGUCAAGCUCUACAUCCAUAGCCUCAAGUUGCUCAUUUGUUUCAACUGAUUUCACCUUCCGUUUGUUGACAUUCUUUUCUCUACUUCCAGUUUCAUCAACAACUUUCUCAUUCCUUAAGGCUCCAUCCCAAGUAAUAACAUAGGGUUUCUCUUCUAUAGUGUCACCCAAAUCCUUCACUUCAUCCAUCAACAAAUUAAUUCUUACAAGCUCACUUGUUUCCCUCUUCAUCAGUUGGGAAUAUUUCUUAGCAGUCAACCUUAUGGAUCUGCAUGUGUUGUAAGUUGUGUGUAAAGUAGUACUCAUCCUUGUUGCAGUGUCUUGGUGAGUUGAUUUAGUCACCAAAGUCACAAAAUCUUCACCCUCAAUUUUGAGACUCAACCUUCCUCUAAAUCCAUUUAAAACAAGUGCCUGAGAUAUUUCUGUGAGUAUGAGUUUCAGAGCAUCACUAUCCAUUUUGGGGGAAUCUGAUGGGAUCUAAUUCCAUCCAUUUUGUCAACCAAAUGUGUUUUCAUUUCUGCCAAUACCUUAGUUUCUUAUUCUUUAGCCUUGAAUUUUGUUAUUGAUACAAUGUUGAGUCUUCUGCACCUUGAUGAUUCUCCAGCUGAAGUUCCUCAAAAGAUUUGGCUGCCAAUUAAGUAAAACAAGCCCCUCAUGAAGCAAAAAAAAGUAUUUAUCUUUUUUGACAUUUUUGCCCUUUUUUUAAGUAAAACAAGCCCCUCAUAAACUAUCAGCUUCAUGAAGCAUCACUGUCUAAGUUACAAAUUAUAUAUAUUUAUAAUGUAGUUUUACGCUCCCAUAAUUGGUCAUUUGACCAUUUUGGUUAAUUUUGACAUUUUUGCCCUUUUUUUAUCAAAUCUUUCAAUUUGACAAUUUGGGUCUCCUUUUCAAUUUAUGGACUUCUUCACAAACUUCUCAUAUGUAAAUAAAUUUGGUUGAAUUCUCUUAAACUAGAAUUUCUAGUCAUUUGAGCAUUUUGGUCAAUUUUGACAGUUUUGGUCAUUUUCACCAAAUCUGUCAUUUUGACGUUUUGGCUUCCUUUUUAAUUUAUAAAGUUGAACAUACUCUACACAUAUUUUAUAUUAGAAAUAAUUUUGACAGUUUUGGCUGCAGACCUACAUAUAGGAAAAUAAAUAAAUAAAUAAAAGACUGAAAUACCAGAAAAGACCAUUCUACCCCUGGCCAAAAUGAUAACAGACAUGUCGAGGCCAAAAAUUGGUUGCAGAUGAAAAUAUAUAAAUAAAUAAAAUACUGAAAUACCCCCUGGACCAUUACGUUCCAGCACAACCAGACAAAAGUUCACCAAAUUGCCAUUUUUACCCUCUUUCUCCUAUACUUGGAUUGUUUGACUGAUUGUUAUAAAGUAGGUUAACUCUUGAUUUUAAGUACUUUUUUUCCUUUAUUGCUUUAAUCUUGGAAUUUAAGCUCAUGCCCCUUUCAGUUUGCAGCAUACCCUAUAUAAUAGACUAAAUGCCAUAUUUCAUAAAAGUUAAUGUCGUUUGGAUUAUUUUUAGUUUAACAAAAGAAUUCAUUUUGUUUCUGAUUAACUACUCGCACUAUGAUUUUUUUUUUCAAAAAAUGACCACAGAUAAGUUGUUUCAAGUUAACCAUAAAACUUUAAAUUCAGUAAAAGCCACUUUGUUUUGCAGUUGGGGCAUUGGCAGGUGCCAGUUUGUUUCUUAUCAUCCCAUUCUAAAUAAUUCACACAAUAUGUAUAAAAUUCAUAACACUAAAUUACAAAAUAAAGUAAAGUCAGGGGCUAACCGUGAAAGUAUAAUGUUAGUGGCCCAAGAAAAGAGAUGAAAAAUCCUUCAAACUUCUCUUUAUCAAACUCCCCUAUAAGAUGUUUCUCUUCACGUCCUUCAAACUUUGGCUCUUCUUUGGUGCUUAAAAAAAACUAACCUAACAACCUUUAGUUUUUUUUUUUUCUUAAAUCAUAAAGAUCUUAAUUUUCUUUUAGUUUACUCGGUGCCACCAUUUGGACCGAUAUCUCAGACAUUGAUUCAAUCUGGUGAAUAUUCAAAAUCUGUUGAGCAAGUUCUUCAGUAGAGUAAUUACCAUGAUCUUAAAGCUGAGAGAUAAGAACAAUACGUUGUUUCGAAUUUCCGAAGCUUGCACAAGAUACACCGACCUUCUUCAUCAUUAAUUGUCCACCUAAUUAAUUCUUGAUCAAUACUAAUUAAAUAAUCUUAUUAAUAUAUUAUAACUUAUAAUAUAUUAAUAAAACUUAAGUGUUAUUUCUCUCAUUAUAGUCAAUCCAAAUGCAUGAUGCCAUGCAACCCAAAUGGACCAUGUCGGGUCGGGUCAAGUCUUACCAAUUAUAGUUAUGGACUUAGACAUUAAUCCAACAAUCUCCCACUUGGAUAAGUCUAAAACUAUUAUUGCAAGUAUGACUUCCAGAACCGACUGGCAAUCGUAGCUCUCAAAAGCUUCUGUCGAACGCUGACCUUGUCGAUGAUCUCUGACCUUUGUCAAUGACUUGUCUAUUAGAUAAGGGAUCAUAUAUUCCUCCAUUCUAGAUAUCAUAUGGACUGAGACAUGGAUUAUAAUCAUUCUCUCUGUCCAUUUGUUGUUUCCUGAUUUCUAAUUUAUGACGACCGACGAAUUGAACAAAUCAAAUCAGUCCGGGCCUGGCCGAGCACUUACAUUUGUCAUCACCAAAUCAUCGAGUGGCCCACAGAUAUUGCUUUUAUCCUGAAGGUAAAAGGAAUGGAUAAACUUCGACUCAUAUGGCUUGUUCUACUACUUUUUGAUGUUGGAUUAAUGUCUAAGUCCAUAACUAUAAUUGGUAAGACUUGACCCGACCCGACAUGGUCCAUUUGGGUUGCAUGGCAUCAUGCAUUUGGAUAGACUAAAAUGAGAGAAAUAACACUUAAGGUUUGUUAAUAUAUUAUAAGUUCUAAUAUAUUAAUAAGGUUAUUUAAUUAGUAUUGAUCAAGAAUUAAUUUGGAAUUAAUUAAGUGAUCAAAAGGAGACUAAUUAAAUAUAUGGGUUGAUUGUGUAAAUCAUUCAUUCUUAUAUAUGUGGGCUUGUGAUCCAAGAUUCCUUAUGUUGGACUAAGUCCAUGGGGUGACCCAUGGAUACUCCAUGGAGGUUAAAAUCCAUGGAGCAUAAGGAAUGGGUAAAGUCAUGAGUUACAUGGUGUAACCCUAAUAGCUACCAUAUAAAAGAAUCCCAUGGCUCAAGAAAUCGUGCACUAUGUGUGAGUGUGAGGGCUAGACGAUUUCAAGGAGUGUUCAAGUUUCUCUCAAGUUAUUCCAAGUGUAUUUGGUGUUGUGUGAACCAUUUGAGGUGUCACACUUGGGGCACUAGGCACUCAAGCUUCAUGAAGACUUUCUACAUCAAAGAGGUAUGUAAUUCUAACUUGAUAUAUAUUCAUAUGAAUCAUAUUAUUAUGCUAGUUAGGAUGAAUACCUUGGAAAGUUCAUAUUUGUAUCUAUAAUAGAGAAAACAUAGAUCCAAGGUAUUUAGGGUUGCAUGUACACUUAGGAGUGUUAGAAUGCUCAAAACCCAACAGUUGUAUCAGAGCCUAGGCUUGUUUUCUUGUUAUACUUGCAAAAGUAGCUGAAAAAUCGAGUUUUGAUGCUGUCUGCACAGCAGACUCGCCGAGUCUAAGGCAAAAUGCAUCCAACUCGCCGAUUUGGUUCGUGCACUCGACGAGUUAGACCCCCUGACAACAUAUAUUCGAUUGUUUUGGCUGGAAUUGGACUAAGAACAUUACCCUAAGAUGUUUUUGAACUUAUAAACUUGUUUUUAAUGUGGUAAUGUUCAUGCUAAUCCAAUUUCUAAGAUAAUUGUCAUAAUUUCAAGAUUUGUAUUAGUUUGUAUGUUCAUGCUAAUUUAUAGAAGACUGAUGAUUUGAAUUAUCUUGUUCUUAUGAGGUUCUUAGAUUAAUAGGAAAAUUGUGUGAAAUAGUUGUUUUCAAUCCAUUUUAAUCUAAGAGUUGAUUCCAAAGUGUGUUUUUGUAGCUUGUCCUCAAGUUAUAUGAAAAGUCACAUUUAAGAAUCAUAAAAACUCAUAAGAGUUGGCAAGGUUACAAAAUGAAGAGCUUAGUUCUAAUUAAAUGGUUAUAUGACUCCAUAACUUGUCCUCAAGUUAUGGAGGUUUAAGAGUCUCUUCACUAAAUAAUUAAUUAAAAAAAGUGUAACCUUAAUUAGUUCCACAAGUUACAAUAAAAAAAGUUAUUUUUUUUAUUUAUUAAUUAGUUUAAAGUCUUCCAUAACUUGUCCUCAAGUUAUGGAACUUGAAGAGUUUUUUAAUUAAAACUACUUUAAACUCAUAAGUUAUGGAAUUAAUUAGUUUUGAAUAGUUUCAAAACUUGCCCUAAAGUUUUGGAAUUUGAAAAGUUUCACUUAUGAACACUUUAAUUCCAAGUUAGCCCUUAGAAUUUUAAAAGUUAAAAUUCAACCCUUAUACUUUAUAAUAUUAUAAGUUAAUAAUAUUUAUAUAUAUGUAUAAGAGUAAAGUCAGUAUUACCGUUAGUAGGCCUCAUUCACGAAGCCGGUCUAUAAGGGGGUAUAAGGUUACUGCCUAUAAAAUGGUAGUUUAAUGGGUGUCCACUCUCACCCACCGCUUCCUUGAUUGGUGGAGGGUCGUUAGCCGAACGGGUAGGACAAGGACUAUAAUUCUCCCUUCAUUAAAAGUAUUAAUGAUAAAUACUAAGUAACUAAACUCUUAUUAAUACCCAAUCUUAGUUACUUAGGAAAAUGUGAAUUUGGUGCUAACCCAUGAAAUUACACUUUGCACUUUGCUUAAGUCGUUAGUGGAGCGUGUGUGGUUAACCGGCACACUAACCUGGACUUAACAAGGUAGGCAAAGGGUAACUUAAUAUUUAUCAUAGUAUCGGUGGAGCGUGUGUGGUUAACCGGCACAUCGAUUAAGGGGUAAAUAUUAAGGGUACCAAGUAUAUUUGCAUGGUUACUUCACACCUUGUUUUGUGAUCCUCGGCAUCCCAGUCACAAAACCUGAAGGGCACACUCGAGAUUGAAACAUGCCAUUGAACAGUUCAAUGAAUCUCAAAGAUCUAGGAGUUUCAAAACCAAUUAAAACCUAAUAAUACAUUUCGUUUAUCUUGGUGGAAAUUGGUGAAUCGUCAUUCACCUACCUUCAAAUAUUUUAUAGCUUGGAUUACGGCAUACCUCUUCUAAGUUAUAAAAUAGUUUGUUGGGUCCUAGCCUUAAUAUUUCAUAUUGGGUGUCAUAUUAAGGACUUUAAAUCAACUAUCUUGAAUAUCUCCCAAAAAGAUGUCAGGUCUAGACAUUUAUGAUCUUCCCAAAUCUCUUGAAACAAGCUUUCCUAAAUAAAGAUGAUGUCCCAUGGAAAUCAUACUUCUUUCACCUCCUCCAAUUAUUCUCCCUAACCCACAAGUUCUUGAAAAGUUUAAGGUCACUCAAGCCCUAUUGGCAAGGCAAGGUCUAGGUGUGAUCACAUCUUGGAGAUGUAGUCACAUAUUGACAAGCCGGGAGAGUUGGGUGUCAAAUUCUUGAGAAAGUUGGUGGAUCAACUACUUUCUAAGUCACAUAGUGAGAUCUUUUGGGAAUCCUAUGAAACAGACUAAGACAAGACUCUUAAUGAUCUUAUUUAUUUGCUAAGAUCAACUUCCUAAAACGCUAUGGACAUUGACAAUGAUGACAUUGGAUAUCUAGUAAAGCUCUCUCUUCCCAAUGGAAAGGGAUCGGCCAUAGUCAACUUGGUUGACCAAAUGGUAAAGAGAAAAGCUAAGUCUGNAUUAUCAAGGGUCCAUAGGUAACUAUUGCCAAAGGAAGGGGCAUUGGUUGCGAAGCUGCCAAAUUUACCUAAGAAUGUUAAAGUCAAUAAGUUUAGCUCUACUUCAGGUAAAGUCCAUUGUCUAACUCUAUUAAGCACAUGCUGAUUCUGAUCGCGAAAAUGGAUUUCAAUCGCAUGGUUCGGCAAUCAAAAAUUUGGGCUAUUACUUAAGGGUUACGAUAUUUAUAUUGCUUAGGAAUAGAUAACAAUAAGGUUUUCAUAUGGAUUGUAAGGAUAAGUUUUUUCGCAAAAUUUUAAAAUAAAAGAAAAAGGUUUUGAUUUUAUUUAUUUUAAGUAUCCUUACAAUGGCAUUUGUGAAAAGUUGUUGCUUAUAAGAUUCCAUUGAUAGCAAUAUUGGAAAAAUGGAUUUGAUUCUUUCGGUUGUGGUAAUGUCUAAUAUUACCAAAUAAGGAAAGAUUCUCAGCACCCAAGGUUCAAUUGGACCAAAACUUGAAAUCAUGCAAGUUGUAUAGUAUGAUGAAUGAGAACUUUCAGCUUGGAAAAUUAAGACUAAUUCCUAAUGUGAAUAAGGAAAGGACUAAGGGAUCGAGUACACAUUCUUGUGCACUGGUCAAGUCCACCACAAAAGAUCAAGAAGACUAUUCGUCAUGAUUUACUUAAGUUCAGUAAAUAUGGUUAUACUUAUAAGUUUAAGUAUAAGUCUGUAGCAUUGGAGAAGUUUCAAUGUGUGACAGAGCGAAUAAGAAGNAUCAACUUAGCAGAAAGAUAAAAGUUUCUCAAAUCUGAAAAGAUGGGAAAGUACUUUAGUAUCAUGUUUAUUAUCAUCUUAAUGAUUAAAAUACCAUGUCACAAUUGAUCCUCUAAGGCCAUCUUAGUGCAUUCUUAUGACUAAGAAGAGGAAUCUUGAAUUGUUGGAAUGGUUAAAUCAAGAAGAUGAGUCAUACUUCGUUCCAAUACAAGUCUUAGAGUCGUACUCCAAGAUUGUAACUUGAGUGACAUGUCUUAAAGAAGGUUUAAAACACUUGUCAAAUGUAAGAGUAAAAGUUUUCUACUCUUGUACAUUUGAAAUUGGUAAGUUGUGAUGUUUUGGAUAAAACAAAGACCAACUUAGGCCAAUUGUGUGAAGUGUUUGUCUUGAUUAGAAUCCACACUAUCUCUUGGAUAUUUGACAAGGGAGUCUUAUAGGUCAAGAGGUCAGUGGGAGUCUUAAAGGUCUUGAAAGUCUCAAGAACUAAUCAAGAAUAAAACCUAAAGUUCUUCACUAGCACACAACUUGAGGUUCAUAACCUAUCGUGUUGACAUAUUCUGUGCCCAUUCCAGUUAAAGUUGGCUUUGCAUAUGAGUUCUUAGAGUUCUCAAUUUGUUGCACAACAACUUGGAAGCAAUGGUAGGCCCUUGAGCUGCCAGGUGGCAAGAAAUUAAGAUUGAGUUCAGUCCAUAUGAGUUUGGAUUUGUCAUUAUCCUUGUCUUGUGACUAUGGUUUUGACAAUUCACAUGGAUAAGAACACAUACACCAUUAAAUCUAAGUGUCAUAAGGUUUCUCUCCGAUUCAUGAAAAUGAUGGUGAGGAAACACUUUCACUAAGUAGAUUUUAGCUAGAUAGCAAUUGUGAUAUUUGCAUUCUCAAAGUCGUUAGUGGAGCGCGUGUGGUUAACCGGCACACUAAUUUGGACUUGUGAGAAGUGGCAAAAAGGUCUAAACAUUAUGAUUACGGCAUCCCUCUUCAUAAUUGUUUAGAUACACAAGUGUGCUAUCUAAGGGAAGGUGUAUGAUUUUGAUAAAGUUUUAUCAAAACAAUCUAGCAUCAGAAAUCUGAACUUUGGUAAGAAAGUCAAUGAAGUAUUGAUUUCUAGAAGUCCAGCUGAUUUCUGAGUACAUGUCAAAGCUAGUGGGAGCAUAAGUGUUAUGCUAAUAAUCAUCAUGUUAGUGGGAGCAUGAUAAUUAUGAUAAGUAUUGCAAGUUAGCAAUGUUAAUUAUAGAAAACAAAAGUUUCAAUUGGGAAAAAGUUGUUUUGCUAUAAUUAAGGGAGAGGAAAUUAUACUUCAUCUCAAAUCUAUAAGCUUAGAUCGUGAGGUUUUAAUCAUUUAGUCAAGGAUAUAUAUGAAUUUCAUGUUGGAAUGGCUCAACAUAAGGAAAUUCUGUAUAUGGGUCCAUUAUUUGCGUUCUAAAAUUCGAUUAUGAUUACGGCAUCCCUUUUCAUAAUCUGAAUUAUGAGAACUUGGCAAAUUGAAAUGGAAAUGUUAUAGCAAAAGACUGGUUUAGUCUUUAUGUGAGACAUCAUGAAUCGUGUCCCAUAUGCUUCGGAUAUAGGAUCGAUUACAUGUGCUAUAUUCAUCCGUUCUAAAAUUUUCCAAAUGCCUGGGGCAUUAAGAAGGGAAAAGGUUUAGAACUGGAUAUGACUAAAAGGAUUAAACAAUUGUCGAGGACAAUCUAAGGUUUACCAAAGAUUGGUUGCUCAAGGACAGUUGGAAGUAUAGUGAUAAUUCUGGAAGGACCAUAUUGACAUAAUCUGUAAGGAGGCAACUCUUGUUCAGAAGUGAUAGUCAAAAUGGAAUCUGGAAAUGUUUCAAAGUUAGAAUUUUCAAUCUGUUUAAGAUUAGGAAACUUAAUGCAAGAAGGAUGUUUCCAAGGAGCUGAUCUCCUUUGGAAUACUCUGUAAUGAUUGUUGUCAAGUCUUUCUGACUUUGUGCAUAAUCAUUACAAGAGGAUCAAUGCAUAUAAGUUUAGAAUCUAACAGAUUUCAGUAAAUGGCAUGAAUUUGGAAUUCUUGCAUUUGCAGUAAGGAUUUGGGAGUGUGAAAAGAGAAUCAUUGAAGUUAUGUUCAAUUGAUCUAGUUCACAAAGUAAAGAUCAUAGACAAACAUAGUAUGCAUACUUGGUGUGUGGCAUGACUAGUGUUUAAGAAAACAUAGUGUACAUGCUUGGAGCAUGGGACAACUAUUGUUUUAAAUUCAAGAAUAAAGUUGAUAGCUGAAACAGUAUACAAUGAAUAAUGUGUAAUCAUAUGGUGAUAAAUAAAAAGUGUUUUAUUUAUGUUCAUAGGUUUUGAUACCAUAUUAGAUUCAAUUAUUCUUGUGUUUCAUUUUACAUGUUUUAACUUCCAUAAUAACUAGGUCAUUGUACUGGAUGACUAAGUUAUUCAAACCAUCCACAGUCGGUCAUAUGUUGGAAGUAGAUAUGAAUCAAGACUUUCAUGGGUUGGAUUGUAGAGGUCUAAGAUGUUGGACAAAGGGCUACAACACUCAUGAGUGCUCAUAAGUUCUGAGUAUUGGAUUCAAACCGCGCUCAUUGGAAUCACUUCAUGGAUUUUAUCACGAAUGAUCAUGAGACGAUAAUAUCUUAUAUUCUUCAAACCUAGAGAUAUGAGUUGUUACUAUGAGCUGGUUGUACAUUGAUUGCACGAAAACGCAUUCGGUAACUCGAUGUUAUAAAACGUGCCUUUGUGUAUGAUUCAACAAGUAGUAGAACAAGCCAUAUGAGUCGAAGUUUGUCCAUUCCUUUUACCUUCGGGAUAAAAGCGAUAUCUGUGGGCCCCUCGAUGAUUUGGUGAUGACAAAUGUAAGCACUCGGCCGGGCCAGGACUGAUUUGAUUUGUUCAAUUAGUCAGUCGUCAUAAAUCGGAAAUCGGGAAACAACAAAUGGACAGAGAGAAUAAUUAUAAUCCAUGUCUCAGUCCAUAUGAUAUCUAGAAUAGAGGAAUAUAUGAUCCCUUAUCUAAUGGACAAGUCAUUGACAAAGGUCAGAGUUCAUCUACAAGGUCAGAGUAUGACAGAAGCUUUUGAGAGCUACGAUUUCCAAUCGGUUCUUGAAGUCAUACGCAAUAAUAGUGUAAUGACCCAAAACUCACUACUAAAAAUUUCUUUAAAAACAUUACUAAAACCAUAUUUAUAAAAACCAUAUCAUAAGCCAUAACAUAAUUUCCGAGUAUUAAUUCAAAACAUAAUCGUAUUAUCAGAGUAAAACAUUCCCAGGCUAACUGACUAUGGUGUGUGCACUGCAACGUCUCCGAGCUCCUCUUUAGAAAACUGAGUACCUAAAACCAAAAACUGAAACCGUAAGCACGAAGCUUGGUGCGCUCCCCCAAACUACAACAUACCAUACAAUAACAUAUAACGCAUACUGGGCCUUGCCCACUGCAUCAGACCGAAGUUUGGAAACUGCAUCGGACUGAAGUCCGGAACUAACCAGGGCCUUGCCCUCUGCAUCGGACCGACGUCCGGAAACUGCAUCGGACCGAAGUCCGGAAACUGACUGAGCAUAACAUAGCAUAGCAUAAACAUAUCAACUAGCAUGAACACAUAUAUUGCAUACUGCAUCGGGCCGUAGCCCAGAGCACAUAACACAUAAAUCCUGUCUGAGCCACGAAGGCAUCAAACGUGCUAACUACUGCAUCGGACCGAAGUCCGGAAACUACUGCUAACUAAACGGGCCGGCAUUGUGGCCUUAGACCCGUUCCUACUGGAAGGAAACUCACCUGAACUGCUAAGCUCUGCUGAUAACCCUCUGGCUGCUAACCGACAACCUUCUGAGCCAGUGCUCCUCUAGCUCUCUGAGCUACCAAUAUCAAAAUGAUACUUAGUCUGAAAGUCCUUCAAAAGUCAACUAAGUCAACUCUGGUCAAAGACAAAGUACUGGUUACAGUCAACCUUCCAGGUUGACCCUACUCGCCGAGUCAGCCUACUAACUCGCCGAGUUCAUAAGCUCUGAAACACCUUUCAUUUGCGACUCGACUCGCCGAGUUAGACCAUGACUCGCCGAGUCUACUGAUUUCCGAGUUCUAUCCUGUCCAACUCACUAAGUCUUCACCCAACUCGCUGAUCCGAGUCUUAACUAGAAGGGUUUGGGGUUUCGCGACUUGACUCGCCGAGUCCAAGAACAGACUCUUCGAGUCCAAGGCAAUCUUCAACAGACUCGCCGAGUUGUUCUUCCAACUCAUCGAGUUGCUGUAUAACUUCACCCAACUCGCCGAGUUCCCACGCGACUCUAAGUCUGAUAUUUAGCCCAACUCGCCGAGUCAUCUCCCAGACUCGCCGAGUCCAUACAUGCUUUCCCAUAAUCUUUACAGAGCUACUCCUUUGCUCCAAACUAAAGAUCUGGGUUUCUAGAGUCCAUUAGCAACAUAAAGUUGCUACCUUUACGUGCUUCUUGACCCCUAAUGCCUAAAACCAAGCUAGAAAGGAACUUAACUCAUGGGAAUCGCUUUUGCAUAGCAACUAACAGGGCUUUCUGCAUCUAUGAUCCAAAUAGAGCUCAGAUCUGGAGUUUCAACUCCAAAUCUAACUUGUGCACCAAAUUCUCAUCACAUACUCUUAAAGAAACCCUAAAACUCCAUGAAAGAUGGAUCUAGAAAGGGGAAAGCCAAGGAUAACGAUUCAUUACCUCCAAAACGUCCUCCUACUGAAAAGGAAUCCGAAUCUCCACGAAUCUCCUUGAUCCAAGCUUCUUGAUCUUCAAGAUUUCUUCACAAAACACUUAACAAUGCCCCAAAUUGCUUCCAAAGUCUCUCACUCACGAUUCUAGGGCUUCUAGAUCUCAAAGAGGAGUAAAGAGGCUGGGGAAUGGGUGUAAUAUUCCUUAAAUAGGGUGCAAACCUCUGAAUUAGGGUUUUUCUCGUUCAGACCAGACUCGCCGAGUCCACUCGCCGAGUUGGUCACUUAUUCUACACCCGGGUCCCGCUCUGACUCGUCGAGUUCCUCCCUAGACUCGACGAGUUGACCAUUUAACUUAUGUUUUUUCCUUUCCUUUCUUGGUCUUUUUGAUUUCGGGUGUUACAACUCUCCCCCACUUAAACUGAACUUCGUCCUCGAAGUUCACUAUGGCCAACUGACCUGCCAUCCGCCUCCAACACCCUGCCUAGUGACUUUAACUCUAUUAACCUUCUGCCCGGUCAUCCUGGAUGGCAUAAUCCUUGCAGAUAAAUCCCCGAGUACAAUCUAAUCCUCAACCUUCCUGAGAACACCUUCUGCUCAACUGGCAAUCCUUUUGGUACUCCCCGUGUACUUAGGCUAAACAUUCUUAGGGUUUGCUCUCUUUUUCUCAUGCAUUCUCUGGCCUUCCCAAGGCUGCCUUCUGUAGCUAUUCACCCCCCUUUAUCACUGUGAAGAUCAUACCCUUCACGAUGUCCAUCACCCCAGCCAUUCCCAGUGCUGGUCACUACUGCUGGUACAUACUGAAUGCUUCUUAUUUCCAUAACUUAGUGCUGAGCACCCGUCCCAUCGAAUGGAUCAGAUAAUCCUUCGAGUGAAAGGUUCAUCCCUGCAACGGUUAAGACUCAUACAAGAGUUGCACAACAAGGUUGAGCCCUCCCCUUUGAGAUUAUCCAACCCUGCUGUGAAAGGCGUAGCACCCUCUGUCAACUUGCUGCCUCAUACCAUACAUCCCUUAUCGUUACUACCUCUGACUGAAAAUUUUGUUGCCCCUCAUCCGCCUACCGGAUGCACUGAGACUACCCUGGUCCAACUAAUCUACCGAUAUUUGGGUUACUGGACCCCCACCGGUCACUACAACCCAUCGCAACCUCCUAGUCGCUUCCAGCGACUACUGAAGAUACUUCAACUAUCUAUAACUGUUCUAUCCACAUNNNNNNNNNNNNNNNNNNNNNNNNNNNNNNNNNNNNNNNNNNNNNNNNNNNNNNNNNNNNNNNNNNNNNNNNNNNNNNNNNNNNNNNNNNNNNNNNNNNNNNNNNNNNNNNNNNNNNNNNNNNNNNNNNNNNNNNNNNNNNNNNNNNNNNNNNNNNNNNNNNNNNNNNNNNNNNNNNNNNNNNNNNNNNNNNNNNNNNNNNNNNNNNNNNNNNNNNNNNNNNNNNNNNNNNNNNNNNNNNNNNNNNNNNNNNNNNNNNNNNNNNNNNNNNNNNNNNNNNNNNNNNNNNNNNNNNNNNNNNNNNNNNNNNNNNNNNNNNNNNNNNNNNNNNNNNNNNNNNNNNNNNNNNNNNNNNNNNNNNNNNNNNNNNNNNNNNNNNNNNNNNNNNNNNNNNNNNNNNNNNNNNNNNNNNNNNNNNNNNNNNNNNNNNNNNNNNNNNNNNNNNNNNNNNNNNNNNNNNNNNNNNNNNNNNNNNNNNNNNNNNNNNNNNNNNNNNNNNNNNNNNNNNNNNNNNNNNNNNNNNNNNNNNNNNNNNNNNNNNNNNNNNNNNNNNNNNNNNNNNNNNNNNNNNNNNNNNNNNNNNNNNNNNNNNNNNNNNNNNNNNNNNNNNNNNNNNNNNNNNNNNNNNNNNNNNNNNNNNNNNNNNNNNNNNNNNNNNNNNNNNNNNNNNNNNNNNNNNNNNNNNNNNNNNNNNNNNNNNNNNNNNNNNNNNNNNNNNNNNNNNNNNNNNNNNNNNNNNNNNNNNNNNNNNNNNNNNNNNNNNNNNNNNNNNNNNNNNNNNNNNNNNNNNNNNNNNNNNNNNNNNNNNNNNNNNNNNNNNNNNNNNNNNNNNNNNNNNNNNNNNNNNNNNNNNNNNNNNNNNNNNNNNNNNNNNNNNNNNNNNNNNNNNNNNNNNNNNNNNNNNNNNNNNNNNNNNNNNNNNNNNNNNNNNNNNNNNNNNNNNNNNNNNNNNNNNNNNNNNNNNNNNNNNNNNNNNNNNNNNNNNNNNNNNNNNNNNNNNNNNNNNNNNNNNNNNNNNNNNNNNNNNNNNNNNNNNNNNNNNNNNNNNNNNNNNNNNNNNNNNNNNNNNNNNNNNNNNNNNNNNNNNNNNNNNNNNNNNNNNNNNNNNNNNNNNNNNNNNNNNNNNNNNNNNNNNNNNNNNNNNNNNNNNNNNNNNNNNNNNNNNNNNNNNNNNNNNNNNNNNNNNNNNNNNNNNNNNNNNNNNNNNNNNNNNNNNNNNNNNNNNNNNNNNNNNNNNNNNNNNNNNNNNNNNNNNNNNNNNNNNNNNNNNNNNNNNNNNNNNNNNNNNNNNNNNNNNNNNNNNNNNNNNNNNNNNNNNNNNNNNNNNNNNNNNNNNNNNNNNNNNNNNNNNNNNNNNNNNNNNNNNNNNNNNNNNNNNNNNNNNNNNNNNNNNNNNNNNNNNNNNNNNNNNNNNNNNNNNNNNNNNNNNNNNNNNNNNNNNNNNNNNNNNNNNNNNNNNNNNNNNNNNNNNNNNNNNNNNNNNNNNNNNNNNNNNNNNNNNNNNNNNNNNNNNNNNNNNNNNNNNNNNNNNNNNNNNNNNNNNNNNNNNNNNNNNNNNNNNNNNNNNNNNNNNNNNNNNNNNNNNNNNNNNNNNNNNNNGCUGUCUCUGCCACUGGCUACUAACACGAAAGCAUCUCUUGCUAACCGCUCUCAAGAUCCUCAUUCCGACUCACUAGAGUCCUACAGGCGGUACUCCAACCCUGGAUUCCCAACCAACUACUAACCAUCUCGAUCACAUGAACUAAUUGCUGGGAAGUUCCUCAAACUCCCAACCUGAACUCCUCAAUCCAUCCAUCGUUGUGAUACAAAUCUUUCUUCUCGGAGAUCGCGUACUCAUUCUGGAUUUGCAUACUCUUACCCUUGUAUACUCGGAGGGUUCUCCCCCACUUAGAUUCGGCUAACUCCUUACUGCUCACUAGUCGAAAGGAUUCCCCAUCCUUCCUUCCAUGAAAAGGGCGAUCUGCUGUCUGCCAACGUUUACCUCUGUUGGCGCUCCAACUAACUUUUACCAGAUCCGAACCAUUCUUGCUAACUAAACGAGCACCCUUCAAUCCUUAACUGCAUUUGCUUUAGUGAUUGCAUCUUGGAGAACCUGCGUUCAGGGUUUUAUCUCCAACUCACUUCCCUACUAUCCGCUAGCUACGUCACUAGAAGCUUUAAAUUGUCACUACUGAGGAUAUAACUGAUCAAUACCUGAAUGGCAUCUUCCGAAAGUAGUGAGGCACUACUGAAUCUUACACAUACAUGCUACAGUCACCGCAUCUGACGUAACCUAAUCUAGAGGGGACGACCUCCAAUUUACCAUUCAAAAUCCAAGGUAUGCAAAUAGCAUAUAACUCAAUUACCAGCAGGUAAUAUAAUACUCACAGAUACAUGCUUACUAACAUCGAUGCGGUACCAUAACAAUAGAGUCACUACAAAAAGGGAAGAAUUCAAACUACAUACCUGCGAUCUAGUGCGACACGAUCUUAACUUUCUGAGGGAUGAUGGGUGCCUGACCCUGAACUCUUGCUGAAAUCAACCGGUACACUCUGCUCUGAGCCGUAGGCGCCCUUUCCCGGCCCCGACAACCGCUAGUGGUUCUCGAAGUCACUUGGGCAGGAGCUAUCACCUGCCCUGCUAUAUGCAAACUCGGACAGUGGGCCUUCUUGUGGCCCCGCUGACUGCAAUGGAAACAUAUCGGGUCAAGUCCCUGGGCGAUGGUAACAAUACAAUCUCUGCUAAAAUGGCCAAUCCGGCCGCACUUGAAACAUCCAACAUCGCCACCACUUCUAUGCCUGCACGCACCCUUGUGCGUCCUACCACACUUCCCGCAUCGACUGCGGCUCUGAUAGUCCUUCGAUCUCGAAUCCGACCCCUUGGGCUUCUUGCCCGUAUCUCGCUCAUGCGUUACCUCAUCGACCCCAUCCAUCGUCUGAACAACCGUUGUCCGAUCCUGGAGCUUCGCGGUCAACUUAUCAGUGACCCUCACGACAAUGUCGGGCAACUCCUCGCGUAUGGCUCGCGAAACCUCCCUGACUAUCCAAUCAUGCAGAGGUCCCUCCUAGAGACAGGGUGCCCACUCACACCUUUCCCCUAAUGGAUCCCUGAACUCCAUAAGCAUCGGGCUCUAGACGAGCCCUAAACUGUCCUGAAACUAUCCCGGCCCUAAAGGCCUCAAGAUGACUGUCCAAAAGCUCCACGAUGGCCUCUCUAACAGAACCAAAAAUCAUUGGUGUCUGAUCAAUGAUGUUGUACAUAAUCUCUACGGAAAUGAAAUCCCUCAUCUGAUCAUCAAACUGCCUGGCUCUAGAACCUGAGCUAGAUCCCUCCCCGGCGCCUGAACUGCCGACUGAUAUCUCGCGCAACGUCACCAUGCUGAAAACAUAACACAUUACUGAUCGAUACACACCGCUGCUGAGGGACUUCUCACACCCUCUACUAGUUCCCUGGUUUUGCCUCGGCCCCUCUUGAAUCGAGUAUGGAUCCUCUGCUUUCAGUAGUACGGGCCCAUACUACCUUCCGCAUCUAUCUGUACUUUCCUCAAGAGUUACCUCAAGUCCACCAAGUCCCUUUUCUCUUCUGCUAAUCCUUGCUACUCUCAUCCUAGGCUUGCCCUAGGGAACCUCUGACUCCACCCAAACAGUCCUCAGCUGCUGAAGGCCUCCUCGUAAUGCUAAUUAGCCACCACCUGAAUACCAUCACAUGUGACGAGGCUUAGAUAAUCCUUCGAGUAAAAGACUCGUCCCCACAACGGUUAGACUCAGACGAGAGCUGCGCAAUAGGGCCAAAUCCAGCACUCUGAGAUUAUUCAACCCUGAUCACAUGUGAUGUGACGUAUUCACCUGAUCGCUAACUCCCAUUACUCAGAGUCCCACUAAGCACAGAGCAAGCAACAUUCAGAUAAAGGAAACAUACUCAUGCAAACUAUUCUCAUAAUCAAGAAACUGUACUAGCAUACAAUGUUGAACUCAUACUAUCAGGCAUNUAGAAGGGUUUGGGGUUUUGCGACUUGACUCGCCGAGUCCAAGGCAAUCUUCAACAGACUCGCCGAGUUGUUCUUCCAACUCGUCGAGUUGCUGUCUAACUUCAUCCAACUCGCCGAGUCCACCCAUGUAACUCGCCGAGUUCCCACGCGACUCUAAGUCUGAUAUGUAGCCCAACUCGCCGAGUCAUCUCCCAGACUCGCCGAGUCCAUACGUGCUUUCCUAUAAUCUUGAGUUACAAAGCUACUCCUUUGCUCCAAACCAAAGAUCUGGGUUUCUAGAGUCCAUUAGCAACAUAAAGUUGCUACCUUUACGUGCUUCUUGACCCCUAAUGCCAAAAACCAAGCUAGAAAGGAACUUAACUCAUGGGAAUGGCUUUUGCAUAGCAACUAACAUGGCUUUCUGCAUCUAUGAUCCAAAUAGAGCUCAGAUUUGGAGUUUCAACUCCAAAUCUAACUUGUGCACCAAAUUCUCAUCAUAUACUCUCAAAGAAACCCUAAAACUCCAUGAAAGAUGGAUCUAGAAAGGGGAAAGCCAAGGAUAACGAUUCAUUACCUCCAAAACGUCCUCCUACUGAAAAGGAAUCUGAAUCUCCACGAACCUCCUUGAUCCAAGCUUCUUGAUCUUCAAGAUUUCUUCACAAAACACUUAACAAUGCCCUAAAUUGCUUCCAAAGGCUCUCACUCACGAUUCUAGGGCUUCUGGAUCUCAAAGAGGAGUAAAGAGGCUAGGGAAUGGGUGUAAUAUUCCUUAAAUAGGGUUCAAAGCCCCGGAUUAGGGUUUUUCUCGUUCAGACCAGACUCGCUGAGUCCACUCGCUGACUCGUUGAGUCGGUCACUUAUUUUACACCCAGGUCCCGCUCUGACUCGUCGAGUUCCUCCCUGGACUCGACGAGUCGACCAUUUAGCUUAUGGUUUUUCCUUUCCUUUCUUGGUCUUUCUGAUUUCGGGUGUUACAAAUAGUUUUAGUCUUAACCAAGUGGGAGACUGUUGGAUUAAUGUCUAAGUCCAUAACUAUAAUUUGUAAGACUUGACCUGACCCGGCAUGGUCCAUUUGGCUUGCAUGGCAUCAUGCAUUUGGAUAGACUAAAAUGAGAGAAAUAACACUUAAGGUUUGUUAAUAUAUUAUAAGUUCUAAUAUAUUAAUAAGGUUAUUUAAUCAGUAUUGAUCAAGAAUUAAUUUGGAAUUAAUUAAGUGAUCAAAAGGAGACUAAUUAAAUAUAUGGGUUGAUUAUGUAAAUCAUUCAUUCUUAUAUAUGUGGGCUUGUGAUCCAAGAUUCCUUAUGUUGGACUAACUCCAUGGAUGACCCAUGGAUACUCCAUGGAGGUUAAAAUCCAUGGAGCAUAAGGAAUGGGUAAAGUCAUGAGUUACAUGGUGUAACCCUAAUAGCCACCAUAUAAAAGAAUCCCACGGCUCAAGAAAUCGUGCACAAUGUGUGAGUGUGAGGGCUAGACGAUUUCAAGGAGUGUUCAAGUUUUUCUCAAGUUAUUCCUAGUGUAUUUGUUGUUGUGUGAACCAUUUGAGGUGUCACACUUGGAGCACUAGGCACUCAAGCUUCAUGAAGACUUUCUACAUCAAAGAGGUAUGUAAUUCUAACUUGAUAUAUAUUCAUAUGAAUCAUAUUAUUAUUCUAGUUAGGAUGAAUNAGUCCAAGGCAAUCUUCAACAGACUCGCCGAGUUGUUCUUCCAACUCGUCGAGUUGCUGUCUAACUUCAUCCAACUCGCCGAGUCCACCCAUGUAACUCGCCGAGUUCCCACGCGACUCUAAGUCUGAUAUGUAGCCCAACUCGCCGAGUCAUCUCCCAGACUCGCCGAGUCCAUACGUGCUUUCCUAUAAUCUUGAGUUACAAAGCUACUCCUUUGCUCCAAACCAAAGAUCUGGGUUUCUAGAGUCCAUUAGCAACAUAAAGUUGCUACCUUUACGUGCUUCUUGACCCCUAAUGCCAAAAACCAAGCUAGAAAGGAACUUAACUCAUGGGAAUGGCUUUUGCAUAGCAACUAACAUGGCUUUCUGCAUCUAUGAUCCAAAUAGAGCUCAGAUCUGGAGUUUCAACUCCAAAUCUAACUUGUGCACCAAAUUCUCAUCAUAUACUCUCAAAGAAACCCUAAAACUCCAUGAAAGAUGGAUCUAGAAAGGGGAAAGCCAAGGAUAACGAUUCAUUACCUCCAAAACGUCCUCCUACUGAAAAGGAAUCUGAAUCUCCACGAACCUCCUUGAUCCAAGCUUCUUGAUCUUCAAGAUUUCUUCACAAAACACUUAACAAUGCCCCAAUUUGCUUCCAAAGGCUCUCACUCACGAUUCUAGGGCUUCUGGAUCUCAAAGAGGAGUAAAGAGGNAUAUCUAGAAUGGAGGAAUAUAUGAUCCCUUAUCUAAUGGACAAGUCAUUGACAAAGGUCAGAGUUCAUCUACAAGGUCAGAGUUCGACAGAAGCUUUUGAGAGCUACG
rnacentral:lncRNA from 1 species